rnacentral:lncRNA from 1 species
AUCAUUUCCUCGUGGAAAUGCAAUCAGACCGAGACGCUAAGGCAGAAGAACUACUGUGUCUACAGUGCAAAUUAAAUAAUAUGGUCUCCGUACAAACAAGUGGCUGCUGGAACAGAGUAGGUGAGUUGUGUUUAGUCUCUUUGCUAAAGAAAUGAGUCAAAGUUAAAAAGAUGUUUGGUGGCUAGUGCUAUGUCUGUGACCCUAUAUGUCCUGUUGAUGAAGUUAGGUGCUGUUCUGAGCAUUAUUUGUGACUAUAGAGUGGCGUUUUGGUUGAGCACGUGCCUCUCUGUAUUGCUAUCCUGCGGUCGUUAAUAAAGUUGGAAUAACUAGAGAAGCAAGAGGUCGGCAACAUUCAUCUCUCGACGGGGUGUCUAACUCGGUGUUACAGUGUGUUUGACCCUGACUUCAUUUCACGCCUGAAUAUCCCUUUAAUGUAACUCUGUAUGCAUCCAUUCAUUCCCUUCCACUUAUUUGAUAUUGGGUUGAGGCUGCAGUAUGUUACGCAAGGGGACCCUGACAUCCCCUUCCUAUCUACAUUUUCCAGCUUCUCUUUGGUUAUUCCACGGUCUUACCGCCCCAGAUGGACUGUCUUACCUCUCAGCAAGUUUUGGGUCUACCUUCAGGUCUCCUUCCAGUCCCAUGUCUCUGAAAAACCUCUCUGAGGAAGCAUUUGCGUAUUACUGGGCUCCAGGAUAUAUUCAAAAUAGCUGUUUUCGUACCCUUGAAUGACCAUAUCAGAACAGUGAGUCUGGUUGCAUAUGGUUCAGUUAGCUUUUUUAGCAGUAUCUAUUACAUAACUAGAUAAGAGCCUCUCACAGUAGCUUUAACAACAGGACUCUUCAACCUACUUCUGUGGCCAUUGUCUUUUUUUUUUUUAGCAACUUUUGAAGAGUGUUACUUUAAUGAGCUUUGUUUGUGUUUGUUUCUAAUAUUUCUGCUCGUUAAACAGCACCAACAAAGUGGAGAUCCAGCUUUCAAACUGGGACGAGGGUUUGCUCUACUUCUUGUUUCCAAUUAUAAAUAAUGUUGGGUUUUGAGCAAACAUGUUUCCACAUGCAUUGAGGUUUCUUUUGUCAGUUUUUGCUCUUCUCUAUCAUCCUGUCACAGUUAAAGGAUGACUCAGCUAACUGCCAGAUGUGAGGACGGCACUGUCCCUCUUUUGUUCCUCCCGAAGAAGACCUCUGCAUUCGUAGCCUCAUUAUACGUCUUAAUGACUCCACUGCAGCUAUCUCUGCGAAGGCGUGCUAAAGGUCAGAUCAGCAUCUUAAUGCGCCGUCCUCCUGCCUUCUGACCCACGUGCAAACCUCGGUCACUCAGAUCAGACAUGUUCGGUAGCCUGUAGAACAUAUCAGUCGAUCCUAAUGAAAUCACAGAUCCUUUGAUUCAACUUUGACAUUUAGUUUGAGCACCCGUUGCAAAGAUCACUACUGGCAAAUGAGCUUCUCAUCUUCAAGCUUUGUCAUGUUCCUGGUGUGAAUGCUGCAGUCGUCAUGCAGAUUUAAAGAAGUCUAGAUGGAGAGACAGAGUUUGACAGAAUUCGUAGGUCUUCUUGGACUGAAAGGGUCUCAGACUGAAAUCUUCCGGUGUUUCUUGCCUUUAAAAGUUCCCCACAGUAUCGAUAAAUUCUUAGACGCUAUAUGAAAUGAAAAUGGAAAUGAAAUGCAAAGCCACUCAAGGUUUCAGCAGGUUUUCAUCAGCUGGCAUCAGGUCAGAUGGCUGUAUUAGAUCUGCGCUCUACCAAAUGGGGUUCUGACUGGAUCAUUGCUCGCUCCCUUUGGUCUCUAAUGGAUGAAUUACAUUGCUUUCAUGACUUCCAGAUCUAUUUCUCUGAGUCUCUCUGAGAAUAAUUGGUGGAGUUCUGAACUUUCCGGGUGUUUACAUAAAAAGCUUUUGUAUUAUUUAUAAUCGGAGGCUAAAUCACACAGGCAUGCACACACACAGUUUAGUAGUUGAAUUACUCUCUGUCGGCUUGUCGCCCAGCCGGGGUUUCAGACUCAGUAAAAUAAGGAAUGGAGCUUCCUUUCCUUACCUCAGAGCCUCGCUGCCACUCCAGCACAGUAAUUACCUCGUCCUUCUUUACUGCUAAUGAGAAGGUAAAAUAUGAGCUUCUGGCAACUGCAGUCAUUUGCGACCCUGGCUCGCUCCUGGCAGGAGUGGAGAGGGAGAAGGAGAGAGACUAAUUUCUACCCAGAAGCCACCUCUGAAUGGUGCCAUCCAUCCUUAACCCACCUGUACAAGUUAUCCAGGGUUACCCCAGGUCUGUGUCUGGAUAAUGUUACACUGAGUUGGAUGAGCAGUUUGCUGGAGUGAGCACUUUCUUGGGUAAAUGAAAACAGUCAGACUCUUGAUACUUCCCGACAAACUAUAGCCUCUUAGAAAAGAUCAUAGAGUGGGUGUUCUGGGUUAGGUUUUCAUUACUGUAGUACUGUGAUAUAGAAAGUACUAGUGUUACAUCAAUCACUGCCUUUUGAACCUGUCUGCUAAGGCUUGCAGUUUGGUGUCAUGGUGUUUGGGACUGGUGAUUCGUUUUAGACACUGUACACUCUAAAAACUCUUGGGUUAUUUCUUCAACCCAAUUCCUGGGUUAUAUGUGUUGAGUUAAAUUUCUUGGUUAUUUUUCAGAUCCAUACCCAUUUCGCGGGUCAUAUGGAUUCUAUCGUAACCCAAUUUGAGCGUUUUUUAAAUGGGUUAAUAAUUAUGGGUUAUUUUUCUGAAAGUAACCCAAUGAUUGGGUCAGAACGCUGGGUUCAAUGGACUCUACGUGGUUCCUAGGCCUAAUGGCAAUUAAAGUGACCUUGUGAAAUUUGACCUUGAUUUGGGGUUGGAAUCCCUCAUGAGACACAUCUGUAAGGAGCAAACUACAUCCACCAGUUUGGGUCCUUAGGUAAGACCCUUAACGCUAUGGCCUACAACCAGAUAGAUAAAAGUACAUGGGAAAAUAUGGUACAGGUUGUAAAAGCUAAGCUCCCCAAAUGCAUCUAUCAAUCUAUCCCAAGAUCAUGAGUCAAAUUAACUUAAACAUUUAAACAUUGGGUUAACUUGACUCUUAAAAAGGGUUAUUGAGUCAACCCAAAAUUUGGGUUAAUUUGAUUAACCCAACAUUCUGGGUCAAAAUAACCCAACAAGUAGUUGGUCCUUUUUCAACCCUGGUGUUAACCCAGGGGUUUUUAGAGUGUAACAUCAACUAUAAGCUUUUGAACCCACUUAAGAGUUUUUGAGUGUUGAUGGUGAUCACUUUGAGGUCAACCUUAAGUUUUUUUAAACCCUCCUCUCAAGAUAAGACAUUGGUUUUUUGGUGUUUUGUUGAUAGAGAUUGAGUUGUCAACAUUUUGCUUUUGAACCCUUAAAGCGUCUUUGGUGGUAUUUUGGGUGGUACUGUGGUAGAAGUCAGUUUUGCAUCAACCAGCUGUUAAACUGACCUGGAGUUUGGUAACUUAGACUCAACGUCUUUAGUCUGGUGGUAGCUAUCUCAAGGUCAAAUCUGAGCCUUUGAACUUUCUUCUUAAAACCUGGAGUAAAUGAGUUUAAUUUUGGUGAUUUAAGUUAGCUUUUGAACGCCCCAUUUGAAGUCUGUAGUUGGUGGUUUUUGAGAUGCUCCUAAAGUUUGCAUCAUUAGCUUUUAAAUGUGUUCAGGAGCUUGAUACUGGUUGGUUUUGGUGGUGUGUUUCAUUCGCUUCCUCCUCCUCUGCUUUUAAACCCAUCUUUUUUUGGGGGGUGAAAGCAACUCUAGCUUUGUUCUGGACUUUUGAGCCUCCCUUUUUGAAGCUUUAAGUUCGGCAUUGUUGCAUUUCAGAGGUAUUUUGGCGGUAACUUGUCAACGGCCAAUUAUUCACUUUUUAAACUUCCUGUUUCAAAGCUUGGUGUGCGUUCUUUUGGUGUUGUUACAGUGGUAGCAGCAUUGAUCUGAACCCUUUAAUUAUAGCUGUAUGACUGGCUUUUUUGGCAUCAACCAUUAGCUUUUGAAUCUCAUAUUUAAAGCUCAGUGUUUGGUAGUUCUGUGGUUGUGUUUAGAACCAUAGUUGGCCAUUUCUGAUCCCUGAUUAUUGUUUUAUUUCAGAUUACAGGCCACCCGAGUUCCAAUUUGCUAAUUAAAACUGUAUACAAACACCAAGCUUGUUAUUUUACUGUAAAUUGUACCAUUUAUUACAAAGUGACAAUAAUCCUGCUUUGUCAGAACAAAUCUUGAUUGAUUUUUUUCAAUAGUUGGGAAAUUAGAACCAUUUUCUGGUCUGGUUUAGACAAUUUUGUCUUCCUUUCUGCUGGCUGUUAUAAAUAAUGCAGAUUUGAAGCACUUGUGUGUGGUCCUCAGUUUGAAAAACAGAGGUGAUAUGCUGAGUUAUGAUUUCAAAGUGAACUUUAACUCUUCUUUAGUGACUCACAACAUUAGGAUCCCUCUCAUGACCUUCUUCUGUGAUCUUUCCUUCACUUCCAUGCCCACAUGCUAACACAAAAAAGUCAGACUCUUUUAAGGGUGUAAUAAAACUCAGCGUGAUUUAAGAGCUAUGCUAGAUGACCCCAAUGUGUGAAUUUGACAGAAAUGUGAUCUCUCAAAGGCACCUUUCACCUCCUAUCAGCAACAAAACAUGAACAUUCAAACACCAUCAAAAUGAAAUGCACGCUUUAUGGGCCUGUAAGACUCUUUAUUCACCAGGCGAUCUAUAUUUCCAUGUCAUCGCCGCUCUCCUCUAUUCCAUUAUCAUUUUUUAUCUGAUAGGAAACAAAUCAAGGGUUUCCCAGUGUCAGGAACAAAAGCCAUUUUUGUGUUGAAGGUUAUAGAAAAGCAUCGUCACGUAAGGGAAAUGAUUAUAUUGGUGCCCUUCGGAUAGACUCCAAUGUCACACAUGAGGAGACAAAGAAUUUCAUCACACAGGCUGAGCUUUUUUGCUUUUUUUUUUUGACAGCAAUCAGAUCCAUUUUAUUCUCUUUGUGGGGCUUCGUAUUUGCUAUAAAAUCUUAGAGAUUGACUCCAAAACCUUACCACAGGGGUGAAAAAAUCCUAUUAGAUUGAAAACAGCAAGAGACGUAAAAAAAAAAAGAGAAAAAAAUCGUAUUAGCAAUAAUAACAGAUUGCAGAAUUCACUGCGUCUGGGAUGACUAUUUUAGUGAAAAUGAUACAGCCAGGGUAUGAGAAAUUAAACCCAUUUCAGAGGGUGGUGUCAAUGCUGAUGUUUACUGGUUUUACAGACACUUCCAUUAGAAAACCAUUAGCAAGGCGAUUACUAUGAUUAACUCAAAAUUGACCCACUGCGUCCAUUCACUAAUCCCACUGACCAUAAUGCAAUGCAGUUACCAUAUGACUCGUUUCGGAGCAUUUAAGUGGAUGAACUUUGCACCCCGGUCCUGCUGGAGUUAUCGGGGGGGAUUAACUGGGGUUAGAAACCAAAGAUUGGAAGAUGUACCAUGUCAAUACGAUGUUAUUGCAAUAAAACUGAUUGGCCUGACCUCUGCGCUUCGACAAGAGGAGCUUCGUUCAGCCGGGGCAAUUACAGCCAGAUAACAGGCGGCUGAAUGAAAAUGUUACAGGAGCUCUCUCAGCUGUUAUCAGUCUUAAUUUAGGCAGACUUUUGGGUCAUGGUUCACCUUUAAGAGGUCAAGAAAUCAAAAUCUAUUAAUUCUACACAAUAAUAAUAAUAAUAAUGUAGAAAAUUUUGUAAAAUAUUACCUGAUUUCAACUGAUUACAAGCAAACCCAAUUGUGUUGCUAUAAAUCUCUAAGUUCUGUAAAACUGAUUUUUUUUUUUUUUUUCUUGUCUGCACAAGAUAAAAUCUUGAAAUUAUUUGUCUCGGUGCAAAGAUUCAGCAAUAACAUCGAAAACAGUAUUUGCUCAAAUAAAACUAGAAAAUUCUUGUGAUAAAUGGCGUCAAAUUGAAAACGGAUGGCCAACAAGAUAACUAUCUUGUGAACACAGGAUGAUAAUUUGUUUUGCACAGUAGUUAGACUUGCAUUUGAGCUGAUAAUCUCCUCCCAUUGAAUAAUUUUCUUAUCUGCAAUAGAUGUUUUUACCUUAAUAAUGUUAUCUUGCAAAAUUGCAUUCAAAAUCAUCCAACAUGAUGAUUGUCUUGUGUGAACAAGCUAACUUGUUCCAUUUACGUAUCCAUCUUUUCUACAUAAUACGAUGACUUUUCCCACAAGUUAUUCCGUGAUCCAACUGAUCUGUGCUCACAAGAUAAAAAAUAGUCUUUAUGUGAUCAUUUUCUUUUGUGCACAGGAUAACUUAUGGUGGGUUCCAGUUACCUCUGUCGUUGGAUGUCAGGGAACGGGAAUGGGAAUGACGCUGCACCCGAGUUGACGGCGUUCCAGUUAACAAGUGGGUAAACCAAGAUGGAUGCAAACAGUUAGCGGUUGUUAGCUGUUGGUUACAAUUGUCAGCUGUUGUUGGCUGAUGUCAGUUGUUAUUGAUACCAGUUGUAAACAACGCAUAACACAGUAUUUUACUCUUACAAACACCAUAUCAAUCAUAUGGGCAGUACAACAUAAACCACGUAUUCAAUUUCCCAAAAACAAAACAAAAGUGCUAAUAAAUAAUACAUUAUGAGAGCUUUUACUGUUACUCUUUGCUGUUGAUGCACUGUGCUGCCAUCUUGAAUUAUGACGUUGUCGUCAAGUCAGGGUUGGUGAGGAUUGUCCAACUUUCUGAAUUGGAAAUCCGACUUCAAGGGGACAUUCCAGAUGAAUUUCCAACUCGGAGCUCGGAAAUCCCAAUGAGUACAACUGGAACGCAAGGUUAUUCCUGAAGAUAGUUCUGAUGUGUGCCCAAGAUGAUAACCUGUUCCAACAAGACAACGAUCUUUGAUAUUGGCAUUUCAGUAUUCUACUUUAGCCUAGAGGCACCAGAGGAAUCCAUCAUGUUUUCUGGUGGUUGAAUUUAGCAUCAGUUUCCAGCUAGUAUCAUGCAACAUUGUUUGCUAAUGUUUGUCAAAGUCUUACAGUGACAAAUUUCUGAACAUUUGUUAUAAAUUCUGCAGCUUAAUUUCUUUAUUUGUAGGAUUUUGAGAUUGUAUUUGACAUGUUUCCAGUAGGUCUGGAUGAAGUGGUGAAUGUUUUCCUCACAACAGCUGUUCCAUGAGGAGAUUUUUGGGGAUUAUGUUGUUAAUGCCACAACAGACACCAUAUAAAUCCUCAGAAACACACUUGAUGUUGAAACUGGUAAAUGUACAGCAUUAAUGCAUUUUUACACUUAAUACAGCAGCAAAAAGCCACCAACUCAGCCCUGUUCGAUUCCUCCCACUUUACCUCAGUAUUGCUUAUAACUUUAACUCCAAAUGCAGAUUUCUUGAGUCAAUUAGAGAAACACUAAAGGAUAAAAGGCUACAACUCAGAGAGGCACUUGCACUUAAUUGAUCGUUGUCUGAACAAUGCCAACGCACAGUGAUGUACAAGCUUCUGUUUAAUUACAAGCAUUGUGGAGGCGGGAUUGUAUCAGAGUUCAUGGAGAUUUACUUAAUUUAAAAGGACAUGGCACAUAGAAGCUUGUCUGGGAGAGAAACAAGAUGUGAAAAUCUGCAAAUACCUGGAGAAAACGACCAAGUGACCUGGCAACACUAAUUCUAAAGAUUCUGAGAAUGUGUCCAAGUCAGGCGAGACAAGCACAGUUAAAACGCCAGCAAACAAUUUGGUAGAAGUUUUGGCGCUGUGGGCAGGUGCAAAGUUCUGUUGAUAAAGGAAACAAGCAUCUCUGUGAAGCUUGGCUGCAAUUUGCAUUUCUGUACCACAUCCUGCAGUGAGUCCAACCAUGGAGCCAGCUUUUUACCACUUUCGAACUUCAGCCGUUGCCUUGGGUGGGAUGUAUACAAGUAUUGGUAUAAUAUGACAUGUAUGUCUUUUAACGUAAAUUCUUACAUGCAAAUGGGAUCUGGUUCCACUCUGAGCCAAGCCGAUGACAAAUCAUCACCAUGGACGACCAAUUACUUGUUUAAAAGGGUGCCUCUACAAGACUGUAUUGAAAACAGCAUAUUGUUAGGUAGGCGGGGAACACUUUGAAAUGCUUUAAGUGCAUAUAGGUUUUCAAAAGCAGAGGAAAAUAAGGUUUCAGCUCUUUAUAGCAAAGUGGCUUUUUCAUGCAACUGGAAUAAUAGCUUGGUCAAACAGAGGUGGCGUUCUGGUUCAGCCUAAAAGACAUCCUCAGGCUGCAUCUUGAGGGACUAAAACUUCAGGUUCAGGUGCGCUAAAGCUGGAAAAGAGUUAUAUCUGUUCUGAAAGGCCAGGUGAGAAGGUGGGGUUAAAAGUCCAGAACUGAAUAAAGAGCAGCGAUAGAUUUUAAUUCAAGUUUGCAGUCUCUGAGAUCCAGUCAAUUCCUGCAUGAAGUGGGAGCAAAUGUCACUCCGUUGGCUUUGAUUACUGUGCGACAUUUAAAAAGUUAGAAAACACCGUCCUGUUUUGACCAAGCCUCGUUCAGACCAUUACAGGCCGGGAAUGUUUCUUCAUCUGUUGAUUCCAAGCCUGAAGGUCAUGACCAGGACAAGAAAUGUAAAUCUGGUGGUCGUUUAUUGGUAGAAUACAGUAAAAUAGGGCAAAGCUUCACCAAAAUGCUUGAUGAGUGGAUUAAACCGUUCAACCGACCCUUCAGCAAUCAACCAGAGCGCAAAUAUUCAAUAAUUCUGUUGCUUUUUCCUCAAAUCAUGAUUCAGCACAGCACCAUAAGUUUGCACAUCUUGACACUGUACUUAAUCCUCAAUUAAAAUGUAUCAUCAUUCCAGUAUACAUCCGAAUGCAAGAAAGAAAGAAAUUGUUUAGCCCUGGAACAACCCCAGCCUGAUGAAACCUCGGCGCUCCAAAGCAAAGCAGAUCAGAAAAUGACAUCUCCCUAUUCAGAUUGACUGAUUCCUGCCGAGGCUUGCGCGCAGAAAGCGCACGCUCCGGGCUGCUCAUACAGAAGGCUAACCACACGUAGAUAAGGCCGAACCCGACUGGUGACACGCCUGGCUUGGAAAAGGGGAGGAAGAAAGCAAAUCACUCAGGACAAUCUAUUCCCUCCGCUGCCAGUCACUUCACUGCCGUCAAUUCAAUACCGGCUGCUCCAGAGCGACACAGUGGCCUCUGAAUACCAUUUCCAUAUCAUUAUUCCUACAUAAAUGGCAGACCGCUUGCUGUUUCAUCAACCUUUUGGACCACAUGCUGGUAAAUAAAUAAACAAAGUUCUCAGGUGUAUAUAUGGAAAGGGUGAGGAGAAGCUAAUGGGAUGGAGAGGCCCGCAAAUAGGGACCAGGAAGUGCUUUGUAGCUGUGGCUGGCUUUAUUGUCGGACGGGUUGACCCCCAGUUGAAUGAACAUUUGUCAUUGGGGAAGGGGGGGCGGUUUUCUCUUUGUAGGUUUGCGCAGGUGGACGGACUAAAUGGGUGCAAAAAUGCAAUUCUCUUGGGGGAAUGAGGGUCUUUUCAAGUCCAGGACUGGCAUGUUUGUCUUGUUUAUUAAAAGAUAAAUAUUAUAGAAAAUGAGUGUUUGUGCACUAAACAACCAUGAGUGGAACAGUUGCUGUGGUUACCAAUAAGACUUUUCUUGUUGGUCCAUGCCCAGAAUGAAAAAAUGCCCCAUCUAUAGCUCGUUGUACACUUCAGCUAUUGUACAAGCAGCUAUGUAAUCUACUAGGAAUAAACAACAACCUGAACCUGAACGACCUGGAAAUAUUUUGUUUUAUAAAUGUUCCGUUUUUUAGUAAAGUUAAAGCUCCUGUGUGGAACUUUCAGACAGAUGCCCCCUGUGGCCACUUUUGUCCUCUACCUCCUUAAAUUGCAUCUUGACAAAAAAAAAAAAAGAUCCAAAUUACUGGCUUCUAAAAGUCAAAUGUGAAUGUUUUAUGUGGGAUUUAUAAAUAAAUAAAUAAUAAAAAAAAAAAGGGGUUGCUCAACACCUGCCCCCUUACACCGCUUUCAGGUAUUAAAAAUUGUGACUUAAAUUUCGUCAGUCUUGUCACUGAUGGUGUUGUUUGCUUUCAUUUAUCAUAAAAAGGCAUUAUUUAGAAUUUUAGUCAAUUUCUCAAAUGUCAAAAACAAAAAAAAAACAAACAAACAAAAAAAAAAAAACAGGGCUCGGUCAACACCUGCCCCCUUUACACUAGUUUCAGGCAUUGAAAAUUAUGCCCCCUGUGGCCAAUCUUGUCCUCUGCAUCGUUAAAAUGGCAUCUUGACAAAAAAUAAAUAAAUUAACUGGCUUUUAAAAGUGAAAUGUGAAUGUUUUAUGUGGGAUUUAAAAAACAAAACAAAAACAAAAAAAUACAAUAAUAAUAAUAUUAAUAAUGAUAAUAAUAAUAAUAAUAAUAAUAAUAAUAAUAAUAAUAAUAAUAAAAAGGGCUUGGUCGACACCUGCCCCCCUUACACUGCUUUCAGGCAUUAAAAAUUCUGACUUAAAUUUCGUCGGUCUUGUCACUGUUGGUGUUACAGCUGUAGCUGUAAACCAAAAUAAAGGAAGUGUUCUUCAAUUGAGCUGUUUUCUGCUACAGUUAAAGCCCCAGUGCUGUUCUCAUUUCAAAAGGUCCUGAACCACUGGUUUAGACACGACCCAUCCCCCAGCUCUCCAAGCUUCCAGUGUGAGGCUUACUAACUAAUGGCCACAAGUUAACAUCUGUCCAUCAGGGAGAGUUUCCAGAGGAGUUAAAAACAGUCCUGGAUCUAUUACAGAUGAACUGCAGUGCCGACUGUAAUUAUAUCACAGUUCCAUUUGGCGUGUCUCUAAGCACGUCUUAUUAUUCUUGGUAUUAAAUAUUACAGUAUUUCUAUCAGAAGUUUGGACUGUGAUAAAGUUCCUGAGCCUUAAACACAAAGUUCACUUUCAAAAGUCUGCCCCUUAUCAAGACCAGCGUCUUUCUGCUGCAGCCGCCCUCCCGCUGUGAAGUUAAAAGCAUUCACAUUUCACCGCCACGCUGGUGUGACAGAUGCUUUUAUCAACCUAAAUGCUCUUUUCGGUGUCUUAACAUAUAAUUUGAGAAUAAACCGCCACUCUCGUCUGUCAUUCAUGGCGGACGCUUGUAACAACAUAGUCCCACAACUCGGCCCCUUUAAUUAGACCGGAGCCGGCGAAGAAGUCUGUGUGGGAGACGUUUUACAUGGAGGUUAUAUUUUUUUCUUUUUCAGCACAGCAAGACAUUAAGUUUUUUUUGAAUCACCCGAGUUGACCUGCCGCCUGCCAAAUUGAAUUUUUAAGUUCAAAAGCACAGGGGAAUUUGUACUCAUGGUGACUAAAGUUAAAAAAUGUAUCUUUUGUGCUUCACUCUUUUGGUGCUUCUGUGAUACAAAGGUUAGAGUUCUUGAGAUAAAAGUAGUAAAAAUCAAAGCUUUUAAUGCAUGUCUCAUUUGCUUUAAAAGUGUGACUUGACUUUGUUGCUUUUGCAGCUUGUUUAACAAGUAAAAAGUCAUAUGCGCUAUGUUUCAAACAUAAAUAAAUACUGACGUUCUUUGAGAUUAAGGGAUUUUAGACAUGCGAUUAAAAUUGCGAUUAAUCGCGAUUAAAUGUCGAAAUUAUGCGAUUAAUUGUGAUAAAAAAUGUCAAAUAUAAACAUCCUCAUCCUUUAAUGCAUGUCUCAUUUGCUAUAAAAUUGUGACUUGGCUCGGUUGCUUUGGCAGCUUGUUUAACAAGUUAGCACAAUGUGUCAAAUAUAAAUAAGAUUAACCAUGGUGGUUAAUCGCGAUUAACCAUCAAAAUUAUGCGAUUAAUUGUGAUAAAAAAUGUAAAAUAUGAACAUCCUCAAAUGAUUAUUUAGAUAUCUAGUUUAAACAUUUUUAUAUACAUUUACAAAAGCCAAAGAUUAAAGUAGUUUUCUCUAUCUAAUGCAGAGACAGGAAGCUGCUUUGACACUCUGCGGGAGCCGCUCACAGCACUCAUACAAACAGCCUCAUACAGAGAUGUGUUUGUCAGCGGCAGACCGUGAAAAGUUCAGCUGUUGUUGAUGUUUUUCUCCUGACAAACUUGUUGAUCGCUCGGUGUUUUCCAGGUACCUUCACCCUGAUUGAAGCUGCUUUCACUCCGGGGACAUGAUGUGAUGCAUGUGAACAUUUUGAGCCCAUUUAGGAACUUCAGCGUCAUUUACCAAUACAUAACCUAAUGUAGAUUAUUCUGAGCCAACGGAGCAGAUAAGUGAUCCGCCGGACUACAGGUUUCUGCGAGGUUAGAUUCAUCACACGACCAAACUGCAACACAGCAAUGUGCUUAGUCAGUAUUAAGGGUAGACGAUAGAUUGUGUUUGUGUAUUGGCAUGAUCUCCCUCUCCAUCAUCAUCUUUACUUUGCUUGUAAACACACACACACACAUACACAACUACACACAAACACCCCCUCAGUAACACUCCAUCCUGGCAGUCAUUAGAGUCCCAUGAGCUCUUUUGCUUGUAGCACCUCAGUCCCGUAGAUCUCUGCUGCCAAUAAUCGUUAUAAUUGAUGAUUUCCUUCUAAGCCUCUAAUGAUGUUUCUAGUAUUUAUGGUUACACAAAGCCAGGCGAGCUGAUUCAUAAUAGUUUCUUCCUGCCGCUUUAUUGGCAUGGCGUUUCUCACAUUCUCAUCACUAAAUUAAUUUUGACCUGGCGAUGCCGUAGAUCACUUUAAACCGCUGCGCGCCGUCUCACUGUGACCAGGUUUUCUUAAGCUGUUGUCGUAAAGAAUGGUUUAUCGACCCUUCCUGCUGACGCUUUAAUAAGUGCUUUGCAUAACAAGUGUUUUACUGCAAGAUAAAUCACAUGGGCUGGCGGCGGGCUGUCAAAUACACAAGUGCACACAUGUGUAGACAUAAAGCAAGGCAGUGCUCAAAAGUGGGCACCGGUAUUUACUGAUUAAACUCUGUUAAAUCUAUAAAAAAGGCAGUGAGAUUUAAAGCUCCUGUAAGGGAUUUUAGUUGAAACAGAGAAACGUGGAUAAAAGUUGUCCUCAUUUAAAUUCAUAGCCAGCAGGACCGAGGGAGGCAUUUUCGCCAUCAUAUUGCAUAAGUCAGGUGCAAAUAUGACUGGACCCCAAAAAAUUCUAACAAAGGUUUCUCACCUGUUUUUCAUUGUAUUAGAUGUCCUUAAUAACAUACUAAAAGUUCACCAAAGUUCGACUGCUAGAAAGGUGUCACUUUCACGAUUGCGUCCAUGAACUUAUUCCACGUCACUGUGGAGUCCGUCUGAGUAUGUUAUUGAGGACAUCUUAUACAAUAAAAAAAAACAGUUGAGAAACCUUUUAUUAGAACUUUUUUGGGGUUAGAUGUUUUUUUUUUCAUAAAUGCACCCGCCUACAUCACCUCUUCUUCAAACGGUGCUCUAUAAAUGUCCGGGAACCAACUAGACCAGUUUCUGGAGUUUCAAAAGUGAAAUGUUGUCCCACUCUUACCUGAAGUAGGAUUUCAGUCGCCCAAUAGUCAUUGUUGUUGUAUGUUUUUGUGCACUUAUACAUCCCAUCAUCCAUCACGGAGGCCGGGUUUUGGACUGUGCGGGCCCUGUACCGAUUUCAAAGGGAGGACGCUCACAGAUGAUGGUUUUUGGGAGUGAUUGUAAGGCCAUGCGGCACUUUCCACUACAGAGUCACGUCUUUUUCAAUGCAGUGUUGCCUGGAGGCUGAAGAUCUGAGGGAAAAAUGUCUGAUUGAUUGUUAUGGACGGAGCUAGGGGACCUUAAUUAAGGCAGGAGCACCAGUGACCCAAACAACAAGAAUAACAACAGGGCAAAAAAAGAGCAACAGGCCUUAUUUAUUAGUUGAAAAAAUGAGAUGACUGAAGAUGAGCUCUCGCCGAGGUGCAUAUUGAUCCGUCGAGAAGAAUGUUAGGCAUAUAUAAUAAAAACACAUCAACUUUCAUCCCUUUAAAUGAUGACCUGCCUGUUGUGAGCAUGCUAGCCAACAGCAGCAGAUCUGUUAGGAACAGGAGGAAUUCAAUCAGGGAGAUCCAUGGACCCGAGCGGAGGCCCCUGAGUGAGAUCGAUGGCCUGAGAGGCAGGUUGCGAAGGGGUCAGCUCCCCUGGUGCGGCGUUUUAUCUCCGUCCUGUUGCCACUCCUGUUUAGGAACGUUGUUGCCGGGGAGGGUGGGGGGGGACUGGAAGCAGUGUUGCAUCCUGGUCCCAGAGGCAGCCCAGGCCUACCACAAUAAUAUCAUUUUAUGUCAGCCAUGAGUGAAAGUUUCCCCAACUUGGGGCGGGCUGAUUGAUGGCUGUUGUAAAUCAGGGCUGAGAGUGCUGCAUGGGGUUUUAUAGUGCGGGGAAAUGAUGCAGGUUGUAUACAACUCUCCUUAACACCUCCACGCUUUAAACCCAGUGACUGUCCAAGAAAUGUGCGCUUUUUAGAGUACUACACCCACCCGAACUGCAGGAAAGAAUUUGCAAUGGUAAACAUUCAAACACUACAAAAUAUCCCUUUGUACAAUAUUAACAUAAUUCGAGUCAUUAUGUCCCAGACUGAAUUACCAACAUGGCAAAUCACACUGCUGCUCUAGGGACCAGAAAGCUCCGGGCACUCUUCAUGUGAAUUAGUUUCUGUAAUAUGAUUGAUUGCUUAUUUGUUAGAGAGUUUGCAGCACUGGAGUACAACUAAUAGAGGCUUGGCACCGGGAGAUCAUUUCGCAGCAGUCUUGUCCAGAGGCCCUGUGUCAGAAUCCAGUUUAAAGGAGCUCCUCUGUUGUAAUUUUUUGUUCAUUUUUUUCGUGUUAGAGGUUUUGUUUUAUCACGCUACCAAAGUAAAGUACAAAUGAACCAGGAGUAAUGAUUGCUCCAGGAAAAAUGGACGUAAUGAAGUAACUAGGAGCUUACGGUUUGCACAGAGGUUGGUAAAUUGGGGUCAGUUUUGGGGGUAAACCUGUACUUUUUUCACUGGGGUAGUCCAAUUACCAUUAAAAUACUUAAUUUAUGCUUCGUGUCUAUAAUUGCUUUUACAGGAAAACAGAGUGGUAGCAUAUGAACCUUAAAAAGUAUCAAAAAUUUGCUCAAUUAGUCAGUUUAAUUGGACCAAUAUCCUCGAGCCCCAGAUGACCUGGUCACACGCCUCCUUUACAGCUUGUUACUGGCCUUUAACCAAAGCAAUCAGGUGUUAAUCUGACUUUGACAUCUUUGACCUAAUGGGAUUUCAUGUAGACUGGCAUGUUGUGUAUAUUCAAGUCUAGUUUCCAUUGGACUGGCACAAUAUAUCCAUAUUUUUUGACAGUUUGUCUCCGUUUGGUAGUUUGCUUGUGUUUUUUGAUGGACUAAUUCAUAACAAGUCUCAGAAACUUCAGAGAACAAAAGUCUUUUAAAUAAAUGAGCAAAAUAGCCAGGAACAAUGUAAGAUUUUUGGGGUGGCCAAUUAGAAGGAGGGCAAUGCCACCCCUGGCCUUCACUCUGGACACACCCCUGGUCAGUUUGGGCCUGAUAGUUUAUUUUACUCUGAGAAAUCUGCCCCUGGAAAAGUUAUCAUCACAGAGCAGUUACCUGAAAAUAUCUCUACGCCCUUUAUUCGGUAUAUGUGCAGAAAGAUGGAGGAAAUCAAUCAUUUUGGUCGAGCAGUGUGUCUAAUGUACAUGAUGAAGACUCAGCGAAUCUGCUCUCUAGCCAAGAAAUGAGGGGAUCUCCAGAGUCUGAAUUGAUUUUUGAAGUUGGCGCCGAAUGAGUAUAUUCCAACAGAAUGAAUUUAUUGCCAUCUUGAACCAAGACAUCUGGUCUCACCAAUUUAUAACCUUGGACCCAGAUUGAGUUCAGGCAAGACUGAACAAAUAUUAGUGCCAAAAUAGAGAGGGAUGCCAAGGCCUGGAUGGUGGAUCAGCACUUUGGACUUGCGUACAGCGCCUUAAAUUAAUUUUUCAACAAACUCCCAGCGUAAACUUUCACACUCCAAAUCCUUCUUUCCCCAAAGUGUUUCUGUUGCGAUCUAAUUCAGAUAUUAAACAACUUUCUGUAUUCUUGUUUUCCAUGCUUUUGAGUUGUUUCCUGCAGCGUCGUGACCACAGACAAGAACACUUAAGACGGUAAAUUCUGCAUCAAAGCAGUCUAUCUCAGCUCUUUAUUAUCCCUCCUCCUGCUUUCCAUUUCUAUUUAUCAUAUGUAUUUCCUCUGUGCACCAUAGGCUUUUUCAUCUGACCUUGUGUUGAGCCACAAAGAGCUUUCGGCUUCUUGCGCUGACAUUAAAAAAAGAGCCUGAAAUUUUUGUCCAAGUUUUGACGAACUGACUGACGUAAGAAGAAGACACAUUCAGGUCUGAGUGUCCUCCAAAAACUAGGGCAUAUAAUCUGAAAACAGGAACAUCGCCUUGAGAAGAAGAAGAAGCGCGACUUUCAUGGAUCAAUUCCCUGAAGUGAGAUCGACAGCAGGAUCAUGAUUCACAGUGCCGGUCUUGCUUUUCAACAACACAACACCAUACAUGUACCAUCAUGUACCCCUGUAACAACACAAUACCUUUCAGAGCGUAUUUGCACUCGAGUUAAAGGUUUGGAGGAAAUAUUGCUUGUUAGAGUUCAUCCUGAAAGCAAAAGCGGAGCAGCACUGCGUCAUACAUACAGGGUAAAUGGAAAACUGAGCUCAAUAUAUGCUUGACGGGGUCACACAAGAGAGUACUUAUGAGAAAUGUGCGUCUGGUUUUCGAGUAGAGCUGCAGCAGCCAUCUAUUAUGGAGUUUCUAUAGAUAUUAUUGAAGGUUGAGUCAUGGAUGUAAACGGUACAAUGAGAGAACAUAUGGAAACUUUUCAUCAUACGUUUGACCAUCGGAUAGGAACUAAAGCUUGAACUUCGCCAAAAGUUCAGAAAAAAUGACCUUACAAAGAGCAACAUUAGUCACAGCAAGAGCCCUAGCAAGAGUGAGGUACUGAGUUUGUUCAAUUUGGAAUUUAGUUAUUAUUAAAAGUCAUUUUCGAUAUUCUAUUGUGUCUGUAAGCAACUUGAACGUAAACAGCAGUUAUUUCCCUUAACAACUUGGAAAAGUCGACGAAGCUGACAGAACACUUUUUCAUUUGUAAUUUAUGUAAGAUGUGGUGAUUUUUGACAAUUUUUACUUUUUUAUCGCCUAAAACGUGGGCGCCAUUAAUCUUAAUGGUCCUAACCCUGACUAAUCUACCAGUAUAUAAUGUAUAAAAGGGUUUUUUUGUAAUUGUAAUGCUGUAGUUUACCCAGAAGAUGGCGCCAAACUAGCCAAAGCUUCAUCACACACGUCCACCAUCAUGACUGCGACGAUCACCCCACAAACUUUGUAAAGCGCUGUUAAAACUGAUAAUGAGUUGAGCUCAAGUUUAUGCUAACUUCUGGGCAGCUGGCAGGAUUGGCAGCUUAAAGGUGGGGUAGGCAGGAUCUGAGGAAGUUCCAGUUUUUGGGAGAAAUCUUGAACAUAAACACUACCCCUUCAACAGACGACCAGCAAACACAAUGUUUGCAGGACUUCUACAACGAGGAUAAAGUGACAUAGUCCAGGACCCGAGGGAGACAGUUACGCGGCGCUACAACACGCAGCAGGUCCAGUUUGACAAGAAACACUUCUGUUACAGACACUUGUCUUACUUUGUUAAAGCGGUUUACCUGUCCAGCAGAAAGGUUACAGGGUCCGUAAGAUCCCAAAGCAUCUCCCAUCAUUGUUGACCCGGCUUUUUUAGCUCUUGUCCAGGUGGCCUCCCUCCUUUUUAAGCGCCCGUUAUUCCGCCAGAGUCUCCGGUAUUUCUCUUCCUUUUCCUUUUACUUCCUUUUCUUGCUUGUGUCGGCAGUCGUGGCCAAAGGAGGAUUCAGACAAUUUUCCGAACUUUCUGGUUGGUUUCUACUCUCCGAUAUUGUAGCACGCUAACUUUGUUUGGACUCCUGAACGACACGGGGAGCAGCAUCCGCCUCACAACCAAUCAGGUUGGGGAGGCGGAGAAUGGCUUUGUUUACAGUCAGAAAAAGCGCUCAAAAAAUUUAAAAUGUUGAUUACACAGAGAUAACAAAACACAGCGAUAUCGUUAUAUUACCAAAUGUCAUCAAUAACUAAUAGCUAUUGACUGAUAUUAAAAUCUUUUUUGUAUAUACACCACAAAAAAAGAUGCUUCUUUAACGGAUUCCUGCCUACCCCACCUUUAAGAAGGUACUAGAUAGAGCUUCUUGCAUGAUGAGGACUAAGCCAGUUCUUUCUUUUCCUUGACCAACAAGCCGUAUCUCAUAUUAACACUCAUGAAUACUCCAGAUUUGAUAGGACUUAAAUUAAUUAUUCGUAGUAUUUUCCACUAUGUUUAAAGAGUGGACAUGUGUCCUAUCUGUUGCUGUUUCAAUAAAGCGAGCAACUCCUUGUACAUAAGGCUAAUUAGCAGCAACAUGAUUUUGCUUUGUUACCUCACACAGAUUACUCCUGUCAUUGUUUGGUGGUGGGCGUUUGCUGAGUGUAAAAAUACAUAUUUCAUAAUGAAAGUGAUAACAGAGUCGUAUUCCUCUCAUCUCUGGCUUUAAAACAAGUGAUCAAAAGUUCUUGUUUUUAUUCAAAGUGCUUCUUGCUCUUUUUUUUUCUCCUUUUGAAGACACGACUGCCUGCCUAAAGUGACUGGUAAGUCUGCUAAAAACACACAAACACACACACACACACACACUCGGUCUUUUAUUUCCAGAGCUAUUUUUGCAUCUUUAUUUUUCGUCUUGUACUUCUUGUCAGUUAUUUUUCUCCCUUACUUGAUAGAUUUAAUAAGCCGCGAGUUUCAUAGUCUCAACUUCACAGUUGGUUCUAUCAAAAGUCUUUGUGUUAGUGAUCAUUUCUGGGGAAGGCUGUGCACCUGUUCAAGGAUUUUUAUUGAUCACUCAAUCAACUUUUCUUUUUUGGACUUUUAAAAGCUUUUCAGAAUAGUAUUCUUACUUCUGAGUAAACCUACAGCCUCCAGCUCAGACUGAGAAGCACUUUGGUCUGUAUUUCCGUACAUGCAAGACUGUUAUACGUGCAGGAUACAUGGAUAGAGUGUUUUUAAGGUCAUGUAUAAGGACGUUUAUCUGUUUACAACAUGUCCAAGUUGUCUUUUAUUUAAGGUGAUAAUUUCUGUCACAAUAAAUCAACAAAACACAUUUGCAGCUGCUCAGUUUAUAACCUCAUUAUCAUUGUAGUGAUUGAUGCUAAAAUAAUGAACUGCUGUGCUGAUUAGGCGGAGAAGCACCAAAACAAACGACUUUGAUCUGAAGGAUAUUAAAGUAAGAUGUAUUUUUUGAGAAUAUCGGACCUUUAAAAGAGUAGUACUCAUUAAGAUAUCUUUUAUUUUUAGAUUUCUGCAGCUGGACCUUGAAAUCUAUUGAAUUUGUUGCACAUAUAGGAACACAUUUAUCAUAAUCCAGGGGUACAACAAGGCCAGGGUUAUAACAAGUGGGUGAUCACGACUUCUCUGUCCUCAUGGAUUACUAAUUUACUUGAUUAAUUGGUUGAGUUAAGUAAUUUAGUGUCAUUAAAUAUCGUUAUCUGUAUAUCAUUUUCCACUCCUUUCUGAGUAUUCUUCAAAGAUGAAAAAUUACAGUAAUGGCAGUUAGAGUUAUGUCAUGGUUACACAUGGUAACUAAGUUAAGAUAACUGUUUCCACUUUGUCUCAGUCCAUGAAUUCCAAAUUAACGCCACAAUGCAGCUGCUUGUUUGUAGCGAGACCUCGGGCCAGUCCAUUACGGACUACAGCGGGGUGACGCAGCUCAAGGAAGAACAUUUAUGAUCAUUUCUUUAUGGAAAUGCAAUCAGACCGAGACGCUAAGGCAGAAGAACUACUGUGUCUGCAGUGCAAAAUGAUUAAUAUGAUGAUUAUUACUUGGUUGCUGGAAGAGAGUAGGUGAGUUGUGUUUAGUCUCUUUGCUAAAGAAACCAGGCAAAGCUAAAAAGAUGUUUGGUGUCUAGUACUAUGUCUGUGACCCUAUAUGUCCUGUUGAUGAAGUUAGGUGCUGUUCUGAGCAUUAUUUGUGGCUAUAGAGUGGCUUUCUGGUUGAGCGCAUGGCUCCCUGUAUUGCUAUCUGUGGUCAUUACUUAAGUUGAUAUAACUAGAGAAGCAAGUGGUCGGCAACAUUCAUCUCUCGAGGGGGUGUCUAACUCGGUGUUACGGUGUGUUUGACCCUAAAUUAAUUUUACACCGGAAUAUCCCUUUACUUACAGAUUUCUCCUGGAUUUAAAUCAUUAACAAACUCUCAAAUUAACAUUUAAUGGACAUUUUUUAAUUGGAGUGUUAAUGAAGUCCAAAACACAGAACACAUCAGUUGUUGGUUUGAUUUGCUCCAUGAGUCAUAAACCUUUAGCCUGUUUUUAUGACUAAUUGAAUUUAAAGAUGGAAAAUUUGAUUGAGAUGCAUCAUUUGUGUCACAGAUUACAACCAGGAUGUUGAAAAACAAGGUGUGUUACAAGAAUUCACAGGACUUCAAUAACUUCUAGGAAAAAAAAAGAAUAAAGUCAGCCAAUAUGUCUUUGACUCGGUUUUUAUUGCAUGUUUUAGCCCGCGGCACUUGUACAAAAUUGUCCCUGUUUCAUAUUUGAUUUGAUACAUUAUGAACAAAUGUUGCAUUCUCAAUAAACUAACUGCUGACAGAGAGUCACAAAUCAAUGUUUUCUUUUGUGGUUAUACAUAUUUUCUUAAAGAAACUGUACAAUUCAUGAAGAAGCUCUGAGCUUACACAAAGUGUAUCUACGUGUGACUACACUGAUUCUAUUGAAUGUCUUUCUUUAAAGAUGUAUUUGAUCAAUUGUUGAUGUUGCUGUCUAAGAAGACAUGGAGUCAUUCUCUUGUCAACCAGUUCUUGAUACCUGAGGCUGUACGGAUAUUUAUUGAAAGGGGAAAAUGAAUGUUAGAUGAAGAUCCCGUGGUUUAGUGGGAGUUGGUCGUCUCCCAGAAGGUUGAGGGUUUUACUCAAGUGUCCUUGAGCAAGACAUUAAGCUCCAAAGUGAGUAAAUUAGUUAACACUUAUGAGUUCUUCAUGUAACAACCUCGAAUUAAGUCUGAGCAAGUAUUUGAGACGUGACCUGUAAGUGUCAUGUCAAUUGUUGUGGGGUCUCAUGGGAAUGCCAAUGGAAACCAAUGGUUUUUGCCACAGUGUUAACAGACAAAGGGUCCAUAUAAGACGAGAAAAGGGUCAAUAACUGACAACCCAAAGAGUUUUAACCAAUGAGUGACAAGUAUUUAAUACAGCCCGGUCAUUCUUAAGACCUUUACACAUUGAGAAUGUGAACAGAAACCAACGUUUUUGACACAGUGUCAACAGGCACACAUAUGUGGGGUCAAGAAAAGACAGGAAAUUGCCAGAUGGUCCUUUAAAGAAACAAAGGCCUCUAAAAAGGUGGAGUUUUGACCAAGUUAGGUAACCUCCAGCAGCCACCAUAUUGGAAAUGCUGACUAACACUAACUUUGUUGACCUAGCAUGUUGCGUCGUCGUCGUUUUCUUCCACUUCAUCCGGGUCCGGGUCACGGGGGCAGCAGCUUCAGGAGGGAAGCCCAGACGGCCCUCACCCUGGCCACUUGCGCCAGCUCCUCCGGGGGGAUUCCCAGGUGCUCCCAGGCCAGCCGAGAAAUAUAAUCCCUCCACCUGGUCCUGGGUUGGCCACGAGGUCUCCUGCUGUUGGAACAUGUCUGGAAAACCUCUAACAGGAGGCGUUCAGAAGGCAUCCUGACCAGAUGCCCGAGCCACCUCAGCUGACUCUUCUGGACGUGGAGGAGCAGCGGUUCUCCUCUGAGCGCCUCCCGAGUGUCUGAGCUCCUUACCCUAUCUCUAAGGCUGAGCCUGGACACUCUGCGGAGGAAACCCAUUUCCGCUUGUAUCCGUGAUUUUGUUCUUUCGGUCAUUACCCACAGUUCAUGGGCAUAGGUGAGAGUCGGCACGUAGAUUGACCGGUAAAUCGAGAGUUUCGCCUUACGGCUCAGCUCUUUCUUCACCACGACUGAUCGGUGUUGCGAACAAGCAGAAUUGAGGCAAACUUUCAGUCUCUCUGUAACCUUGAAAUCUUCCAAACUACAAGUUGGAGCAGGGAUGCGUUUGUCCACAGGGGGCGCCAAAAUCAACAGAAACCCACAUUUCUUCACAGAGGCUUUAAAACAAACAGUUCUGAAGCUUGGUUUUUCAGGGAAACAAAUACUGCACCUUUCCGAGUGUUAUUGCUCCCAUUUAUUUCUCCACUUUGAUAUUUUUUCCUUUCUUUUACUGAUGAAACUGCUUCAAGAGUGAGCGAGGUCAUCAUUGCACUUAAAUUCAAAUGUAAAAGCUUCAGAAAAACAGGGCCCAUUAUGCCACCGUGAUAAUUUCACCAAUUUUAUGUUCUCUCCCUCUGUCUUUCACAGUCACAUAGGUUACUGCUCUGACACACGCACACACACCCACGGACACACAGACCUCGGCCAAGUCAUAAUCUUUCUUACUGCAUCUAGCGAUAUGAGGAAAGCUGACUUUUCCACAUCAAGAUGAGAGGGGUGGGAGCAUUAUCAGCCCCAGAGAAAGAUAAGAGUGACGUUAUUGGGGCCAGGAGUCCUGCGUGCAAAAUCCAAAGGUCAUCCGAGCAUGACUUCACACCAUUCGACACAGAAACGCUGAAGGUCAGGGAGAUUGUUGCAGUAAUCUAUCCAUAAGAAUGACAACUGCACAUUUGGUUUCAUUCAGCAUGAUUUUGCAGUUUGUUUGCAAGAAAUGGCAUUUCAGAAAGCUCAAAUUGGUCCCAAAUUUCAUAAAUGCUUGGGCACUUUGUAAACUGUUGAUAAAAUUUAGUUUGCUAAUCAUUUUGGCUCUUUAAUUAACUGAAAAUAUUGAAAGGACAACAUAACAAACCAAAUUAUAUGAAGACAAAAGCGCUUUUUAGAUUUGACACCAUCGACAUUUUUCUAAACAGUCGAUACAAGGACAGCAAAACUCUAAAAAAGUUGUGAAAUACUUUCCCGGAUAAACCUUUGACCACAAUUUUGUUAAUUUGCCGUGACAUACCACAAGUUUGUAGCAUGUGCAGUAAAAAUUGCAUUCCAGCGAGACUGAGGCUGUUAGGAGCAAAAGAUGGGAAAAGACUCUCCACUCUGUGAGAGGCCGGGUGAGGGUCAACAACUCCAAUAGAAGGCUUCUGCAAAUACGGCUGCAAAGAAUUUGAGUAUUUCAUCAUUUUUAGCACAUAAUUUUAUAAAAAGAUCGAAAGAAUCUGGAGAAAUCUGUGUAUAAAAGAAGCACUGCAUUAAAAACAGACCUGUGGAAAUCUACGGAUUGGCUGUUUGGUGACACAUUCCCUCUCCCCCAAGUUUCAGACACCCAUAUGAGUUUAAUCCUUUUUCAUUCAUGUUAAAAAACUCCACACAGGAGCUUUAAAUCUCAGUUUUAAACAUCAUGGUGCAUUUUAUGAACAUUUUACACAGCAUACCAAUUUUGGGGGGAAUUGUGGCCGUAAUUCAGAGGGACUUUUCUCAGUCAAGAGGACAAAAUUACAACUACUAAGCAUCCAGAGAGGUGACCGAGGGAAUGAGAGAGGCAGGGACACUGUAAAAGUCCAGGCCACUGAACCCUGCUAGUAUCAAGUAGCAUAUUAAUUCUAGUGGAGCACCCGGGAUAAGUGGGGCCCCUGGGCACUACACACUCCGGAUAUAAUCAUGAAGCCUCUGCAGUCAAUAGCAUAAUAAAAUAUACAGUGUACAGUUAAGCUGUGAAAUGGAUGCGAACAAAUCCUGCAGCAAAGACAAUCAAGAAGAUGGGAAUUGCAGGGGUUUUAUAAGGUAAGCAGUUUAUUCAGCAUGUAGAUGAGGAAUCAGCAACACACAAGGCGUCUAUUUGGUCGGAAUUGAGAUGUGAUUUAAUUGAGCUACGCCAGUUUUUCAAGAAAUGAAAUUCCCAAAAUAACAUCAGUUCCAAUCAGAGCGUUUCUGUGUUAGACUCGCACAUCAAAAGCCCCAAUAUAAUCCGAAAAUAUCAUACAUUUUGUCCACUUUGUGUGCCUCCACAUCAGGCGUCUCGGCUGUGUUCUUUAGACUCACAGUAUGGGCCAUUUACUGUCUUAGUGCAGUUUGUUUUUGCAGCAUAGGUCAUUCAAAACAAAUAAAUAACUGCACUGAGAGGUCUGACAGUGCAGGGCGCCGUCCGCCUUCCAAGUGCGCUGUGCUGGGCUGCAGUUUGUCAGAAGUGAGAGUACAAUCUAAAAGCCUGCAGUUUGUGCUGGACAAACUGCACAUGUACUGUCUUACAAAUGGCACAAAAAGCACCGCGGCUUUCGCGGCUCAGAGAUGGAUAUUGGCAUGUCACAGCCAGCAGUUCCUCAUGUUUGAAAAGCUCGGAGGAAAAAUUAAUGGAGGGUAAAUGGAAGUCUGAACCAGUGAUCAUAUUCAGCUAUUUCUUUCCUGUGCUCUUAACUGUUCUGGGCAGCACAGUGAGUGAAAUACAAGCCAAUAAUUCCUGCCAAAGCCGGUUCAUGGUGGGUGUUGGACUCCACCAAGGCUGACCGGUGUUGCUUGAUCUGUUUGUGAUUUUCAUGGACAAAAUGUCUCGCCACAGCUUGAGGGGUGGAUAAGGUCCAGCUGGGUCCUGUUGGGAAAGUAAACGCAGGUCUGUUUGCAGAAUUGGCUUGAAACCAGCUGUUUGCGGUCAGAUAUAAAGGUACUAUAAGGAACUUUUGACAGUUUUUUUUACAUGUACUGAAAUUGACGCUGAUAUCUCCCUCUGACCAAUCAAAGCAAACCAGCCCAGUGAGUAGAAGAAUUAUGAUCUUAUUAGAAUGAAUUAUGAAUGUCAGGGGUGGGUGUCAGAUGAGGCAGGUAAAAGCAUGCUAGUUUUUUAAAAUUUUUCUAUUUACAAGAUUCAAUGUAAGGCAUGUACAGCUGUCCAAAUUAGGAGAAAGUGUCAUGUUCUAAAAUCAGUAAACACUACUUUUACAUGUAAAGGACAAGAAAAGAUAAGAAUGUACAAUUUUGAAAGAAAUUGAAUCAUUGGAAAUGUAAAGUUGUUAAAUGUUGAAUAUUACAAUGUUGGAAAAAAGUCAAAUUCCAAAAUGAUUUAAAUAUUCAAAUAACCUACCAAUAUUAAAUGUUUAGAAUGUUAAAAAAACUUGAAAAUGUUGCAUAAACUUAAAAAAAAAAUGACAAUAUUGAAUAUUAAAAAUGUGAAGUUUUGAAAAUUUAAAGUGUAAAAUGUUAAUACGUAAAAUGUUUUAAUGUGAAAAUGUUGGAUAAAUGUUAAAUAAAGUUACAAAGUAAAAUGUUUAAUUGUUGAAAUUUGAAAUGUAAAAUUUUAGAAUGUUAAAAUUUUAAAUGCUGAAUUGUAGACUGUUAGGUGUUAUAAAUGUAACCGUAAAGUGUGAAAAUGUUGAAAAAUGAUGAGAUAAAAAAUAAAUGUUUAAAUGUUAAAUUUUAAAUGUUGAAAUGGCCAUGUCAAAUGUGAAAAUGUUGGAAAAAUGUUACAUUAUGUUACAAGGUAAAAUGUUUAAUUGUUGAAAUUUGAAAUGUCAAAUUUUAGAAUGUUAAAAUAUUAAAUGCUGAACUGUAGAAUGUUAAGUGUUAUAAAUGUGACCGUAAAAUGUGAAAAUUUGUAAAUUUUCAAAUAAUGAGAUUAAAAUUUAAGUUUUUUUUUUUUUACUAAAAUUUUAAAUGUAUAAAUGUUAAAACUAAAAUGUUGAAAUGUUCAUGUCAAAAUGAAAAAAUAAAAAUUGUUAAAUAUUAUGAUUAUUGUUAAAUGGAUAGAAAUUAACAAAACAAAACAAAAAAAAAAAAAGCACAGGCCUGGAUAGCCCAAUUUCUGUACCAGAUGUGUGAGCAGGAGCAUUUUUCCCUUUAAAGUGUCAGUUUUGCAUUAUAAGGAUUAUUGUUAGCUUGAGUGACAGGUGAGUAUAUUAUAACAGUUAAUCUGGGGGCUAAAGGCCUACCUCUGCCCAGCUUGACCAAACGUGAAGUUGGGUUGGCGUUUGGAGUGACCCAUUCCCUGAUUGGUGCAUCGUUGACUGAAAUGUUCUGGACUCCUGUUUAAUAUUAGUAAUGGAGGUGAAACUCCAUAUCCUGGCUCGGCCCUCUUACCCUCUGCUGUGAUCAUGACCUUUAGAUACUGACCAAAGGGAUCAGGAACCAGCAGCUAAAAUGAGCUUCAUUCCCAGGGUGACCAUUAAGUACAGGGUAAGGAACUUAGAUGAAACUCAUUUACAUUGAAAUGACUCCAGUGUGUCCAGCUGGGAGUACACCCCGAGGCGGACCAAGAGCAAGGCUGAAGGGGAAAUAAAUCCCGCUUGGCUUCGGAUCACCUUGGGACCCUCGGGGAGGAGCUCAAGGAAAUGACACCCAGGCUAUUCUCCUUGGAUGGAUUCAUAAACCUCCGUUUUACAGACUCCGCUACCAAAACUUGGUCCGAUAAUGUUCCUGAAAAACCCGUUUUUUCCCUUUUAAGAGCUGCUGAUCAGACACUGUGUUCUCAAAUCAUGCAAAACACAUCUGGGGGCCUUUUUUCCCCCUGUGGUUCGAGCCGAAGAAAAACAACUCUAGGUACAAUCAAACCCUUGAGUACCCCUUUAGUCUGAUGCACCUCAUUCUUUAGGAGUCUUUAGUUCCUGGCCAUUACCUAUAACAUCCCGGCUUCAAGACAUUCGCUACACUGUGUGGCGCCAUUAGGGAGGAAAAGUUCUCCAAGGGCUGAAACCUCUCAUGGAUUUUCUCGGCGUCAUGUCCUAUGACCGGGCAUCUUGUCAGCUGAGCCUAAUCUGACAGGAUGCUAAUAGAUUGUCUAAUUAACAUAAUGUCCGACCAUUAGCAGUGGUUAACCUUUGACUCAUCGCACUGACAGGGAUAAUAGGAGUGGCGGCGAGAAGCCAUGGAUGCUAAUGCUCUGUGAACUCAUGUUAUUUACAAAUUAUUUCCACACUUCACACGGUCUGGGCGCCGAGAUUGAAGCAGUCGUGUCGUCAGACUUUUGGGGUGUAUUGUAUUGUUGGUAUCCAUGUCAUUUCAUCCAAUAAUACAGUUCUUAAGCUGUGCUAUCAGCUCGGGCCGCCUUAGAUGGCAGGAGCACAGAGCGGUCAAGCAGUCGUCAUUUCACCUCGCUGAACUUCUGCCGCCGUUUCACCCUCAGCGCUGAACCAAAUCCGACCACUUUCCACAGCCUUGAACACCACUUCCCUCCUCUUUGCAUGGACUCACACACAAACAUAUGCGCUGCGCCCUAGCCGCUGAUCCGUCAUGAUGUCUCCUUCCACCUCAUUUCCUCAGACCCCCGCUUCUUUCUAAUUGAGGCGGCGGCGAAUACAAUUAUGGUGAGAAUCAUCCCGCACUGAUGUGAGGACGGAUUAACCGGAUUAAGACGAUAAUCUGUUGACCCUCCGGCCCCGGCGCAGUAUGAGGCUGGGAAGGCAAUUUGAAGCAGAGAAGAAGAAGAGAUAGAGGGGGGGCUUUAAUGAGCGAACUGACGAAAGGCUCUGACCACUCUGAGGCUGGCCUGGCGUGCUGCCGAGGGAUUACUUUCUGCAAGAGUCCCCCCCCCCCAUAAUCUCACCUAACCCCUCACAUCCGCCCCACUGCCCACUGACUCGCUCCUCGUUAGAGAUGUUCAGGAACAGCCGCACGUCUCUGCUAAUAAAGGUUACAGCGUCACACAAAGAGCAGGAUUAAAGCUCAUGAUACCAGUGAAAAUGAAAGGUCUUUUAUAUUACACAAGUUUUCAACAGAUAAAGGUCCAGCAGAGGGUUUUGUUUGGGCUUUUCCUGCUUCCUGGAAAUCCACCUGCUGAUCUGAUUCUGAAAGAACAUUUCACAAUUAACCAAAAAAAAAAAAGGAAAAUUCACUUGGUUCUGCCGCUCCUACAGUGGAGGAUUGAGGGCACUAUAGGGAUAAAAUAUUUACAAAAAUAGAGUUUCAGAAGUACAAUAAAAACCAACAAAAAAAAGAUUCGAGAAAUAAAAGCAAAAAAGUUCUGAAUUUGCAAGAUUAAAGUCAUGUUAAAAAAGGAUUGAAGUCAUAAAUUGACAACAAUGCAGUAAAAAAAUUACCAUAUAAUUUUUUAUUGAAUUAUUUAUAUGAUUAAUAAGGUUAUAAUCAAUAAGUAAAAAAGAGUAGUGACAAAUGAAUAAAAUAAAAAACAAUUCAAAAAUGUGUAAGAUUUAUCUUAUGAUUAAAACAAUAAAAUAAUAAAAUAAGUAAUAUAAAUAAAAUUGGAGAGAUAAAAAUAAAUUUGAAAAAUAAAAUAGAUUUAAAAAAUUAGUAUUCAAAUAAUCAAUUAUAAAAAUAAAGCUAUUUGACACUAAAGAGAUUAAAAAAUAUAAAAUUAUAGUACAAUAAAUGAAUAAUGCUAAAUAAAUAAAAUAUGCAAUAAAAUGUAAAAUAUCAAGGGUGAAGUUAUAAAAUAACACGAUUAGAAAUGUGAAUGUAAGAGUACAGAUGUAAAACAUUUAAAGAGAAAGUUGUGAGUAAUUCACAUGAUAAUCAUUAAAUUGCUGGAGCAAAGCCGUACAUUGACAAGAUGUGAGUUAGACAAUAUAAAGAAUAAAACUUCAAAUUUGCCAGAAUGAUCCAAAGAGGUAACAAAUGCCUUUAUAUCACAUUUUGUUGUGAAAGAGUCACUUAAUGGGUUUAAAAACAAACUGUUUAUAGUUUUAAUUUACACUGUACUGACUGAAUACCUGUUUAAAGUUAGAUGAAUUACCUCACAUUAGGUGUAUAAGCUGCUCGAUCACAGCAGUUUUUACCUCUGUAAACACAGACAUGUGUUGGUUUACUGCAUGAGUAUAGAGGUUACAGCAGAUAAAUGACAAAGAGAUGCGUUUUAUCCUUUAUGUUUAAACAUUUUAUCACUGAAUAGAGAAUUUAGAGUCCUUAUUACAGCGUUAAAAGACAAAAUGAUGCCAUAAACCGUGUAAACAAAGGGGCUUUACUGCUCCUGUGUGACUGAGGAGCUGUGACCGUGUGUAAAAGUUACUUAUGAGGGCAGUUAGGAGAAAGUUGGCAGCGUCCAGUUGACAGUACAUCAAGUUUUUGCACAGAGUACACUCCAGCAGGGCGCUUUGUCCUUAUGGGAUUUUCUUAGCGUAAACCAUGAUGAGAGACUCCUCUUGAGUUCCUUUGUAAUAGUUAAAAUCAUUAGACAGUGAGUGGGAUUAUCUCCUCUCUUUUUGCAUGUAUCAAAUUUAUUCCUCCACGUGACCUGUCAGGUAUGUCUCCGCAGGAAAGCCUUUUAAUCCCACGGCUGUGAUAUAGUUGUUGAUCUGCAGCACUCUGGAUCAAUGGACUGAGAUUAAAAAUGAUGUUAAUGGAGGUUUGAUGGGUUUAAGUGAUGCUUUUGACGCAGGCUGCAAAUCAUCUUCACUUUUCGGAGGAAUGAAAGGCAGGAAUGAAAAGCUUUCUGUCUGAAUAAGACUUUCAUCCUUUGACAUCUGUCUUGUACUUUUUCGAUGAAUAGCAAGUGCUUAAAGUCCUUGCCUGACAAAAUUAAUAACACACGUACGCAUCGGCUGUUCUGUUGAAUGAUGACUCCUCAUUUCAUCAGUAUUCUCCGCUAUUUUGAGAGACAACAUUUCUGUAAUUGCAUCGCCUUGUUUGAUUAGACAUAAACACGGGGUUACACCUGGAACGCGACUGAAAAGAUUGUCCACUCUGAUGCCUGACAAGCUUAUUCACUUUUAUAUAACCUUCAGAUUCCCCCCCAAAAAUGUGCUCUAAAAUAAACACCAGACAGUUACAGGGCCACAUAGAUGCCACAAUAACUCUUGAGUAGCAUUCCUGACCAGUUUAAUUAAAUACAUGUCUGGCUUUCAAAACCAUUGCUUCAAUCCUCUUUUAGAUGAGCACAAAAAGUACCAAUAACAAGCCUUAUUUUUAGUUAACAUUAAAAAUGAAGUUUCAAAGGACUUUAAAAGAGCCCUUGACAAUGUCCCAGGGUACUGAAGGUUGUAAGAAAUGAGAAAAAUAUUAAUUGAUUUGUGCGGAGUUUCAUCUUGAAAGUGAAUCACUAUAAUAAAAGGUCUUUUGUGUCUGUAAAAAAGUAGUAAACAAUGACCAGCCUUCAUGAAAUAAAGUAAUAAAUUCCUUAUGUAUAACCACUCUUGUGGGAAAAAAAUAAAUUAAUGUGGAAUGAAGUUAAAACGAUGAAAGUAAAAGUUUUUGAUUUUGAGAUUAUAAUCAAUAUUAUGGGAAAAAUUAGAAAGAUGGUGGUCAUUCUGGAACCAAAAAGUCUAAUUCCUAGGAUGAAAAGUUAAAAUCACAAGACAGUAAAUUCUUACUGUGAAAUGUAGAGAGAAAAAUGUUAUAAAAUGCUGCUAUUUUUAGAUUUUGAAAGUUCUAAGGAAAUAGCCAUGACCCUGAAGUCAUGGACUCAGAAUUACUUUCAAAAGCCAAUGGCAAGAAACCAAUUGUUGCUGCACACAAAAAUACAGCUCAAAGCUGUACUACUCAAACAGCAGACCACAAAAAAAAAAAAAACAGUAUGAAAAAAUUCAGCAGAGAUACAGCAGAGAUAUAGUUGCAAAAACUUUUUUCAAGUGGUGGGCACAGCGUCCAAGAUUUCCAAAAAACUAUCAAAGUUAUGACAUCCUUUUUGGAGAUCUAGGAUGUAGUGUUAAUCACUAUAAAGAGGGACACUGUGUGCAGGAUUUCCAGAAUUAAUGUGAAAUCUGUUACAUUCAUUUUGGAAAUCUUGGACACUGUGCCCACCAUUCUAAAGAAGGGGACAUGGUAUCCAAGAUGUCCAAAAAAAUGAAUUCGACAUUGUUGUUGGAAAUCUCAGAUACUGUAUCCACCAAUCUAAAGAGAGAUGCAGAGUCCGAGGUUUAAAAAAAAAAAAAAGAAAAAAAGGUCUAAUUUAUGGCACUCUUUUUGGAAAUCUUGGACACUGUGCCCACCACUCUAAAGAAGGGGACAUGGUAUCCAAGAUGUCCAAAAAAAAAAAGGUCAUGAAUUUGACAUUUCCAGAAACAAUGUGAAAUCUAUGACAUUCAUUUUGGAAAUCUUGGACACUGUCCCCACUACUUUAAAGAAGAGGACAGGGUAUCCAAGAUUUCCAAAAAAACUCCAUUUGAUGUUGUCGUUGGAAUUCUCAGAUUCUCAGAUACUGUAUCCACCAAGCUAAAGAGUGAUGCAGUGUCCAAGAUUUCCCCAAAAAAGGUCUAAUUUAUGGCACUCUUUUUGGGAAUCUUGGACAUUGUGCCCACAACUCUGAAGAAGGGGACACAGUAUCCAAGACUUCCCAAAAAAUCAUGAAUUUGACAUUGUUGUUGGAAAUCUUGGAUACUUUAUACGCCACUCUAAAGAGAGAUAGAGUGUCCAAGAUUUCCAAAAGAAUAUUGAACCUCUGAAUUUCCUUUAUGGAAUCUUGGAUGCUGUGUUCACUACUCUAAAAAAAGGGGGACAGUGUCCAAGACUUCCAAAGAAAUCACCAAAUUAAUGGCUUUUUUUUUUUUUUUUUUUAAUCUUGGAUGCUGGGUCUAACACUCUUAACGGACACAGAGUUAAAUUUCUGAAUUUCCUUUUGGGAAUCUUGGAUGCUUUGUCCAUCACUCCAAAGAGGGAGGUAGCAUAUGGGCUUGCUUUCACAGUUUAAAAGCCAGCAAUUAGGAUAGUAUUGGGAUACAUCAGUGGCAUAGCAAGAGUAGUGUACACAUUACGACCUUGUGUAAAACAGCAAGACAAGACCAAACCACAUUCUGCAUAUAUGUUUCUAUAGUCAAAGAGUCCAGGUGUUAAACUGACCUGCCGGCUGUCCUAGUUUUUGUCACCUAUUUAAACAUUAUUUUUCAUUAUGAUGCAAUAAAAUCCAACAAAGGAGACCCCGAACUGUGAAGCAGCUUAUCGGGGAAUAAUAGGACAGUAUUUCACUUUCAGAACUCAAAUCUGGUCUCCCUGGUUCCCAAAUGUUUACAGACUGUUGUUAAAAGAAGAGGUGAUGCAACGCAGUGGUAAACAUGUCCCUGUCCCAACUGUUUUGCAACAUGAUGCUGGCAUCGGCUUUAAAAAUGAGUGUAUAUCUGUCAUAAACAAUAAUAUUUUUUAUGACACAUUAUUACGCAGGGAAGGAGGGCGAAAUCCUGCAAGUGUCUGGAGUAAAAGCCUAAAAUUAACUGACAAGAAAGAGUAUAUCCACUGGGAAUGUGUCUGCACACUGCCUCAAAAAGAGUUUCCAGUUGUACAAUAGUUCUUUUGAGUAUAACAUGAUUAUAAAGAAGACUGUUUCAACAGAAAAUCACAGAGCACUUUGCUUCAAACAAAUUUGCAGUAGUCGCAUAGCAAGACGGAAAGCCACCGCCAGCACUUCCCACAAGCAUCUGUUUGUAGCAGACAGUCCAAACACAAUUAGCCAAGGGAUUUGUAAUAGAUUUAUGUGAACAGAGGACCGCCGGGGAUAGAAACGUAGUGGGAACCAAGUCGACUCCAAGAUAUCAGCAGGCGCUCUUCAGAUUUGUUGUUUGGCCCAGCAGAAAGAUACAGCAGGUGUGACCGUGCGUUUCCCAGAGACAGGAAGACAAUGUGUUUGCUGUCUGUGAUUUUUAUUGCCGAGGGGUUCACUGAUUCCUCUAUCUGCCGUCCUUAUUGUGUGCUGAGUCAGGCUGCCGUCCUGGGGUUUUUCAAUCACAGACGCUUGUCUCACUACGCUGAAGAUAGCACUGAGUCACGCUGAUGUUUUCCACAGCAGCACUAAAUAUGAGCCAAUAAAGCAGACGGGCCCUUUAGGCAUCAGCCCACCCAAGUAGUUAAGACAACAUUGCUUCUUUUCUUCUUGUAUCUCUUCCAGAAACAUUAAAAAAGUUAAUUCCAAGCAAAAGAUGACAGUAAGCAUUAGCAUGAUGCUAAUUGCUAAGUGCGCUAAGUGUUUAUUUUCCAUGAUUAUUUGAUGGGCUCUGAUUUGUUCACGGUUUGCAGUCUUGAUCUCCUGAGAUCACAUCAGAUCAGCUUUCAUGUUUAUUUGAUGCAGGCGUCUUGUUUGCCAGCUGCCGUGAACCUACCCUGACUUUUCACCCAUAAUGUUUCUGUGUGGGCGUAUGAAAAAUGCAAUUGCCAUGUCAGGUUUUAUGUUUAUUUUUCUUCAUUGUUUCUCUAUAGUUGUUAUUCUCUACUAAGAUAUGUAUGAAUCCUAACAUAGCUCAACUGUGUUUGACCCAUAGACUGUAUAUACGAUGGAGAACUUGGUUCCGCCUUCCGCCAGUAUACGGAUUUGAAGCCGAAAAGCUCUUGGCAAUUCUGCGUUUUUUGUCCACUUCCUGAAACCAACAUUGCGCAGUAGAGUCGAGGUGAUGACCCCUGGCUCAAACAGCGUAUCCCCCCGGGUGAGCAACGUUCGUACACCCAUAGGCUUUACCAGGUGUCGAUCAUAGAAAACAUGAAUCCCCUAAUAACUUUUAAAAAUGGAGCUUCACAGAAAAAAGAGGACUUGAGCACAAACCAGUCUUACAAUAACCGCAUGUCAACAUCCCAACCAGGGGGGAGAAAAAUGUAUAUUCUAUGUAAUACAUUUCUAAAGUUUGUCCACAGCGCCAUAGGGAUUGCUGGAGGAGGCGGGAUUUAUGACCUAUACUGCAGCCCGCCACCAGAGGUUGCUGUUCUGACCAAAUAGUAGAGUUAUCUUGCGUCAAUAUUUACUGUAUAUAACUGUUGUGCAGCUUUAUGCUGAUGGUUUUGUUUGCUUUCGUAGGUCAUAAGGAGGCAUCAGCAUUAAUUUUAGUUCUUUUCAUAAUAAGCAAAAGAAAAUUCUCAAAGGAGCUUUAAGUUUUUGUCGUUUUUGUCUCGGCCUCCAUGGAUCUGCAUUAAAUAGUUUAUGGAUGACACUGGAGUGUUUUCUGGGUGUCAGUCCAUUAUGUGGCGCACCAGAAAAGAUCGUGUCAGCAGCAGAAUAUUUAAUGUCGAACCCCUGUGGAUUUUCAGAUCCUGCCUGUGGCUUGUUAAUGUCUCAGUUCGGGCUUCAUAAAGCGUCUCGCUGAGGUUGACAGUCUGACAGAGACGACCAUCUGGAAGUCCUCUCGACGCUGACGUGCAUUCAAUUUAUCUCCGUCUGCAUCACUUUGGACCAUUUACUGUAAACACAUAAUGUAAUUUUUCUGAAUCAACAGCGUUCCAGUGGUUCUGCUCUCUGUCAUCUGCUUCGACACAUUCACGCUCCACAUUAAUCAUAAUAAUCCUGCGUUUCUUUGUGGAAUAUAAAACGCCUUGUUGUCCAAGAAGCUGCUGAGAAAGGCGGAUUUAUUUGUUUUUCAACGCCCUCAAUUUCACCUAGUUUGGUCUUCUUUGCACCUGAAAGGAAAAUACUUAAACCUGAACAUUUUUGACGUUAUGGAAGUGCGUAGCUUACUGUGGUGCAAGGUUAAAGUGCAGUGUGUGACGUUUUAUCAAGGGAGCAGAUGAUUUGACAUGCAACCGCUUGCUCCUCACUUUGAGGGGGAAGAUAUGAAAACGUGCCAUUUCCUUUGGGGAGACGAGAGGAGAUGAGAGGAAACGUUAAUAUAUUUUGAAAGACAGAAACAAAGCAUGAUGGGAGCUUGCUAUAUCACAGGCCAGUAUACUCUACAUUUGAGUCAGAUCCCACAGGGAGUCGCAUGUAUGAGAUUUUCCUUUGAUAGCUUCUCCUGAAGUAGUAAAGUCACGUUAGAGGAGAGAAACUGUCACAUUUUCUUUGAGGAGAUUUCUAAUAAGUCUCCUUAAGGGAUAGUUUCAGUGUUUCGCAGUGAGGUUUAUGUGUUAGCCAAUAAAAAGUGUAGUACUCAAAGGAAAUGGAGCAGAUAACCCGCUCCAUUUGUGCAUCACAUCAGGCCUGUUUUCAUCAAACAUGGUUGAGAUUGACGACAUUCUGAGGAUUUGUUGUAUCUCUUUUGUAACUUUAUUUUUGUACCAGGCUGCAAAUAUAUUGCUGUAAAAAUGAACACACUGACAUGGGUCUCAAUGGGGUUUUUUGGCUUUUGGAGCCAGCCUCAAGUGGACAGUAGAGGAACUGCAGUUUUCAACAACUACACAUUGGCUUCCUCUUUAAAACCCACUUUAAUACAAAUCAAAACUGAAAAUUUAUGACUGACAAUUGAUGUUUAACUGACUUAAGAGAAGUACAAAAAUGUAGAAGUACCCAACAGAGUCACGGCUCACAAUCUGUUUCUUGUAAAUGUCACAAAUAGCACCCUGAAAAUGCACAGAUUGUGGUUAAAACACGUUAAUCUUGCAUGUGACAUCCUUCCAUGACCGCUAAUCAACCAUUUAAGCUUCAUACUGGCGUACGUCCAUCCUAACACAUUGAUAACACAGCAUGUAAAUGCAUUGACACACAAGGAUUGCUGCUCUUAAUAAGAGAUGUAUUUACAAUUCAGACAGGGGAAACAGAAACCUUUGUCUUAGAAAUGCGAUAUCCUCAACUUUCCAGCAUAUUCAACCAGCGUUUGUUCUUGUAGACAGUGUCCGUGACCUUUACAGUAUAGUUUGAGUAGUGGUAUUUACUCAAAUCAUCAUAUGCAAUGAUAAGAAGAUAUCUGAGUUACCUGAGCAAUGCAUAUAAGAUCCUUUGUGGUAUAAGCUGCCUGUGUAUUAAGCAUUAAAAGAUGACUAUAGACCACACAGUGUUGACAUUAAACAUUACAUUUUCUGUUUUCACAUUCUGCAAAGUGCCAGCCUCAGUCCUGGUGUGGGCGUUAUUUAAUUGGAGGUCAAACUUAAAGGCUGUAAAAUGUCAUUGCCACACUUGUACAGCGUUGUUGAGCCCUCUCACAGUAAUAAUAACCCGUAUUGUCACUCAUGGGUGAUGACUUAUUUCAGCUCCACAAAGACCACUACAGUGACUUAUCUAUGCAUAUGACUCCAGUGCCUCUCCUGCUCUUCAAGACAGCCAUUUAACUUGGUUGCUAAGGCAACAGACCGGCCCGGGUGACAGCGGUGAUGACAGAGCAAUCGCUGACAGACUAACUUCAAGACAGGCCACAAGUUCUUCCACUGCCGCUAAACGCUUAGUCUCUUUUUUCGCAGAGUACAAAGGGAGCGGGAUUAUGCAACACUUUGCAACAGUGAAGUGGCGUCCAUCCGAGUGACAUGUCGGCUGGGAAAUGGACGGUGCUUUUUAGAUACCAUCAGACACACACUGACAGCAGUUAUUAUGUUAUUGCUUAUUAAGAGUAAGUGGAAAAUGAGUCUUUAAAAGCAAAGUAAUGAUGCAAAUUAUAGUUUUAUGCCGGCACAUGUGCAUUUACGACUCUAAAAACAUGACAAGGGGACACACUGAGUAAUUAAACUGUCAAUUUAAACAUCACCGUCUUGACAUUAAUGUUAUAUAGAAGCAGCCGGUAUAUGCAACAUGUGACAUGAAAACCUCUGAAAGCAACUUUUCUGUUGAUUCUAGUCCCCUUGUGGACAAACUGGGACAUUGUGAAGUGGUUUUAAAUAGUCGAUCACAGCAUGAAAAUGUUGACAAAGACUGUUUUGGUCAUAUUUAGUUUAUCAAAACAUCAUACAAACCAAAAUGAUCCAAUCCAAUCCAAUCCGCUUUGUUUAUAUAGCACAUUUACAAAAACAUUCAAGUCUACCAAAGUGCUAAAAGAAUAGACAAUGCUGAAAACAUCAAGAUGAAAUAAAUAAAUAAAAGCAGGUAAAAAACAUUUAAAAUGAAAUAAAAUAAAGGAAAUAAUACACAAAAGCAUUAAAGAAAGAAAAUUGAUAAAAGGACAGUAAAAGACAUUAAAGGAUGGAGAUCACACAACUGUCAUGCUGAGCUAAAAGCCAAGGAAUAAAAAUGAGUUUUAAGACGUGAUUUAAAAGUAAAAAUGUUUUAAUCUCGAGUGGCAAUUUGUUCCAUAAUUUGGGAGCCACAGCGUUGAAAACUCGGUCGCAACGGGUUUUUAAAAUGAAUUCUUUAAUGGACGGGAAGCCAAUGGAGGGACGCAAAAUUAGUUCCACAAGGAGGAACAAAAUGGUCUCUAAGUUAAACUGAAUUCAGCUGGAUCUAAACCCCCCCUUGACUUCACAGCACAUGGUUUGCUCCAGGCUUCAAGAGGUUUGUCCACCCUUGACCACACCCUCUGCUAGACCAGGAAGUGCCACAGCCAGGUAACUCAAAGACAAAGACAUGAAGAUUAAUGUCACUGAAGUGUGUGUCUGAUCUUACAUGUUAGCACUGAAUUUAACCAGAUAAAGAUCAUAAACUCAAAAUAAGCUAAAACUAAACAUCACACCUCAGACACUUGAGUCUUACUUAACUCCACACCUAACUGUACACUUCAUGUCCCGGUGUUUCACACAGCAGCUGGGUUGUUCUAAACUACAAGGUUUUCUUACACUUUAUACCCGAGUGCUAAAGGGCAGGUAGACUGUGAACAUAUCAAGGCAGACAGAAAAGGAAAGAAAACAUGAUCUUUGUUAUCCUGACGAGUAAAUGAGCAGCGCUGUUGGAUCUCUUUAAGGCAUAAAUUGGCCUUCAUGCCACCUGGGAGCCAACUGACACCUAAGAAACAGAGAAUUCACACGUGUAUUUGUAUAUGAUCACACCAUCCAGAACAGGUGAAAGAAAAUAGAUGAAGUGACACAUCUGCUUUGGAAAAUAUCAUACUUUAUAUUUAAAAGUGACAGUUUAGGCUGUGUAAUUCAAUCAGAGGGAAAAUAAUCCACCUGUAUUCAUCUCGUUUAAUCCAAUCUUCUACUGUGGUGGUGCUAGGCAGACAAUAACAGGAUACAUUUUCCAGACCUGGCCUCAUUGGGAAACAUAGCUGCACUCCAUUUGCACCAAUCACAGUUUUCUAUGAGACAGUUUGACACAAAUUGCACAAAUCUGCUGCUCACUUCUUGGUGGCUGUUAUGCAGGUUGUGACUUCUCCUUAUCUGGCCCUUGUUACCUACAUUGCACCAGCCUGCAAGGUGGCCAGAGGGAAGUACAGGCCUCCUGAUAUGAGUCCGUGGUGUGCUCAGAUUAUGGGUCAAGUUAUGAGCUGGAAAACAAGUUAUUGUUGUGUGAAAAUCAAACCCAGAGAAGGGCCUUAAAGAUUAGUCGAUUUUUUUCCUCUGAGUUUUCGUCAUCAAAGUUGUGACUCCAUCGACGUCGAUAUCCACUGUCGUUUCCUCGGAUAAAUGCGUCCGUGUUCAAAUUAAGCACUUCACUGUAACACUAACACAAUGUAUUGAAAUGAAAGGUUUUGUCGAAUUAAAAAAUGACAUCUGUGGCACAAAUGUUCAAAUUCGACAAAAUUUACUGUCAAAGGACGUAAGAGUGCUGUGAAGACUGUUGCUUCUAAAAAAAGGAACCGAUACACCAUGAUAUGUUGGCAUAUUUGUUUGCAUAAAGAGCUUUAUUUUCCCUCAGAAAGAAAGAUUGAUACUCGCCUAGAACUAUAUCAACGCCUGAGUCACUAUCUAUUGAAGAUCUCUCGCUGUUAUGUUAAGUUGAAGGACAGUAACUAUGGCGAACCAUUAGAGUAAAGAGAAACGAGUAUGAGCAAUUAAACUUCAAAAACACUGCUCUGGUCGCGCUUAUUUGUGUGACUUUUCACUGAUAUAGUGAUUGGUUGCUAAGUAGCUGGCUAACUUGCUUGUGAGGACUGGGUGGUACCUGACAAAAUUUGUUGUCAUGACACAAGUCCUCAAGAGUGUGUCUUUUUUUAUGCAAAUCUUGCUUUAAGAAAGCGCCAUGUUUAGUUAGUGUCGACACUGUAAAGAUGUGUUGUGAAUAAUAACCGACUGAUAUCAACGUCUGAGCAGAUCUGUUGAUGUUUGAUAUAUAAUGGUUAUUGUUGGUGUUUGCAUUUGACAAAAUACAACAACUUAUUAAAACUAAAAAAAAUAAAAAAUAAAAAAGCUGAACUUGAGUGAAAUCCUUCUCUGGUGAUAUCUAUCGGCUGUGGUCUGAUGCUGACAUGAGGCUGAUUAUGUCAAAAUACUGUCUUCUAACCUUCCUCCUGUGUUAGCUUUUACUACACACCCACUAUAUUAAUGGGUCGGUUUUGACCCGUGUCUUAAAUCAGCUGUUAAUUACACUAAAAACAAUUCUCUACCAUCCAAUUUGGUUCUUAUCUCUAGGUUACCUUGUUCGGCUUCAUUAUCCAUGAAAAUAUUGCUGAUAAUAUUUUUUGUUGUGGGCCUCUGGGUCUUUCUUUGUCAGUAUACCUCCUCACACAGACAUCUAUACUUAGAUGAUCUCACAUGUCUAGACAUGCCCGAUGUUGUUUGUUGUGCAGGGAAAAACAGCAAAAUGAGAAUCCCCUAAAUCUCACAUGAUUGGAAGAGGAUCUGACUGUCCGUGUGGCGCCUGUCAGUGCACUUAUGAUUUCAGUUUUAGCUCUAAUCAUUAGACAUUGAUCUAACCGGUUUAACAGCGACCCUAACACAACAAGUGCCAUAAUUUUAAUAAGAGCAUUUUAUAAUUUAGUCAGUUUCAUUUUUUUAUUUUCAUUUUGUUGAAAUAGAGGUUCCUGACAAAGUCAAAAAGUCAGGAGGAGGAGGAGGGUUAAACAGCCAACGAAUAAAUCAGUCUCUCUAGUUGUGAAGCUCAAAAAUAGUGAUCACUAUAUUUUUCAUCAGGCCAAUAAUGGGUUUGAUAUUAGUGUAAAUAUUGGUGUUUUAAUAUGGCGUCUAAUAAGGUUAACUUUGGUUUUGGAGCCGGCCCCUCGUGGACUUCUGUAUUGGCUUUAUCUACUUCGUAUUUGUCAACUGAGGAAAUGUUAAACUGAAUAUUAUUAAUAUUCGGAGGUGAAUUUUGACGUGCCUGACUAUACACAUCAAGCCGGAUGCGACUUUUCAGGGGGAAAAAAGACGCGUCCUGUGGGUGGAAGCGAGAAGACUGACACAACAGCAGACUGAGUGUUUUUCAGUUCUGUUCAGACCCUAGUGUUGAGAUGUCUGUCUGUCAUGAUAGCAUGUACUGAGUCGGGGUCAGUACCAGAUAAGCACAUUAAACUAUAAUCCAUAAACGUAAGGUAACAACAGAGACCUAAUGGUGCUGUGACAGCAACACUGUGAUUGAGUUUGAGACAGUGAAAAUACAUAUGGUAUGUUGUAUCUGAACAGGUUAGCUUACGAGCUAAAGUUACUUAGCACAGAUGAAAGUUAAAACAAAGACGUUUAUCAAACUGUUAAAGCUCACAAACCAUCGUCAGAUGAGAAAUCCGACGCUAUGACUCUCCACAAGUCGUCCUUCAGGUCGUUAUCUUUGUAAUAUUUGUGUUUUUUAUCAAAAAUCACUCUGUUCUCCGACAUGUAAACAAUCAGCCGGUCGGCCAUGUUGGAUAUACCGGUGAAUCUGAUGUCACAACCACACGAAAUCUGAUUGGUCAGAAGUGGACACACAGUAUGUGAAACUUUGGCAAAAUCGACCAUGAUCCGAAAAAUUGCUUGUAUUGACAGGAUACGGGUUCGAAAAAAAAAUAUUGACGUCUGAAAUAAUAGCACGAAAAAAAAAAAACGGUCCCGGUGUGGAAGGACCUUAAGUGGGGUUAGGUUAAUUGGCCACUUUCAAAUUGCCCGUAGGUGUGAAUGUGAGCGUGGACGGUUGUUCGUCUCUAUCUGUCAGCCCUGCGAUGAACUGGCGACUUGUCCAGGGUGUCCUUUGCCUUCGCCCAAAGAUGCUGGGAUGGAUGGAUGGAUGGAAUUCCUGUCAUUGUUGAACUAGGGUCAAUGGAUGGGCAUCUUAAUUCAUGGUAACUUAAGGCACAUUUCAGAGACAGUUUAAAAAAGACCCUCAUUGUCAGACUCAAAUACCACCUUUUGUCCAAAAAUAUCCCCCUAAACUUUGAGAGAUGUUUUCAUUAUCCAAAUAAAGCCCUGCGAAUCAUCCUGUUAGUCUUCACUCCCCCCCCCCCCCUCCUUUUGCUUUCCCACAGCUUCCAAUAGUCAGCCUCGGAGAGGAGUGAUGCUGGGGGGGCUCCUCAGCGCAGAGCAGUCGCAAGGUGCACGAGCGUGCUGAAGCGGGAGCGCGCGCAUAGGAAGGAAGCGAAGGAAGGAGCUGAGGCAGUUUCAGUCGCCAGCGGAGCUCGACACAGCGGAUGAACGGGGCCGAGCGUGUGUGUCGCCCUUGUCGUUUUUUACAGCAGCGGAAAGCAGCGUCCGGCAGCGCGAAACCUGCCCGAAAAUGAUGCUCAAACUCGUCCACCUCCUCGGGGUGCUGGUCUGCGGCAGCCAAGGUAAGAGAGCCGGCGUGCAUCUUUUGAACCCCUCGGGCUUGGUGACUUUGUGGACAAGUUGAGUGUUAUUUUUUUGCCAUCGUGAUCUGCAGCAGGCUGAGAAAGCUGGUGGAGAGAGAGAGAGAUGUAGUCUGUGUGUGUGUUAGAGAGAGAGAGAGAGAGAGAGAGAGGGCUUGUUUAAGUGGACGUUAUUUUGUAGUUGAAGCACGUCUUGCAGGGGCCAGAAUGCUUUCUAACUGAAAAGGGGGAUUAUGAUGGGGUCCUUUUUAGGGUGGGCGAGCUGUUGAGAUACACUCAGUGCGAUGCUAAUCGGAGAGAAAAAACUGUUACCUGCUUUAUUUGACGUGUUAAAGCCUCAAUGUUGAGUUUUUAUCUUUUGGAGCGAGCUAUCAUCACAAAAAGAGUCGGCUCUCCUCCUGAAGCGAUGAUGUUUUCUCACUCAAACUACAUGAAGACAUUAAUGACAAUUCACACGAGCUCGGACCACCGCCUUUCUUGUCUCAUCUUCUCUAUAUGUUGACGUUUGCAGUGUUGGGAAUGAACAUAACGGUGAAUUCAGCGGUGAAAUCUCCCCCUGAAGGUGUGAAUGUUGACACCGGGCCUAUUUUACCAACAUAAAGUCUGAAAUUCUUCGAAAAGUUUGGACAUUUUCGCCGCAUUAGUGACACUCAAGCGUUAAUUGAGUCUCGUGCGCGCGGUGCACCUGAUCUAGAGAGCCCCCCCCUCGCGCGUGUGUGUAGGUGUGUGUGUGUGUGUUUUCGAUGCACGCGCGCAGACAGAUAAAGCUGUUCCUUGAGUGACGCGUGCACACACUCGCCUUUGCCCCCUGCCUGUUUUUCUCUCCCCCUCUCUCCCUUCCCUCGAGUCUGCUUCUUAACUGUGUCCUGGUCAGUGAUGCGCGGCGCCGUGUCACCGCAGGCUUGAGCCUGACGUGCACUGCGAAAAAUAUACCCAACUCCUGUAGCUUCAGAUUUAGUAGUAAUCCGUCUCUUGAAGCGAGAAAGAUUUGCUUGCAGGAUGUGAGUGUUUUAUCUUCCUCGGUGGCAGCGUUCAGGCUUUAAAAGCUGGCUUCUGUAUUUAAAAAAAAAAAAAAAGAAAAACACGCAACAAGUUCAUUUGCAUCAAGGAUUACACGGGUUAUCUUAAUGCCCUUGGCGAGAUUUUGCUACUCCUUAAAGGGAGGAAAAACAAGCUCUCAAGACAGGAUGAGUUGUUAGUUGACACUUUUUGCAGUGUGGCCACACUUGGAUCCUUGCACACAACGGCAGGUGGGGGUAGAGCGCUGCAAAGUGCUGCCAAGAGUGAAGCCACUGGUCGUUAGAGGAUGUUGAUCUCAUAUCUCACGCAGAAUGGACGCCUCUAGGGUCCCCGAGUGGGAGUAAAAGGGGGUCCUGAGGAGGUUUCGAAGAGUCCCUGAGGAAAAAUGGAGUAUCAGAGAUACAUUUUAUGAGACAUUAGUAUGAUUCCAGUUCAAGGAGGUGUAAAAAUGACUAUGAAUUUUAAUAACAGAUCCCACUGAUGCCACUUAGGUUUAAUUCUCACUCUUGUUGGAGGGAAAGUUUAAUGAAAUCCAUAUUUUAAAGUACUGCCUUGCCAAGUCUUAGGAAGAGACUGAUGAUCAAACUGCACAUGCUGUAAUCUGUGUUUAUUUUGUCGUUCCUCUAAUGGAAACUAGCAGUGUGCUCAUUCAUGAGGGGAGGGCAUCCAUCUGCCCCCCUGGUGCUCAUGUACCUAAAAUAGAAGCUGUGGAAGUGCCCAGCUCAGUGCCCCUGAAGUAGAGAAAAGAUGAUAAAAUACUUUCUCUGGAUGCCUUUACAGUGGAAAACAGAAAAAAUCCCUUAGGUUAAGAAAUGUAAAAAACAAAAAAAACAAAACAGUGUCCUCUGGAUGCCCUUCCAGUGGUUAAAACAUAAAAAGGACCAAUUACAUGCUCUACUACUUAAUAAAAAGUGCCCUCUGGAUGCACUUACAGUGAAUUAAACUUAAAAAAAAGUUUCCUUUUAGAUGUUCAAGCAAAUAAAUUUUCACUCUGGUUGCCAUUCCAGUGAUACCUUUUUCCUGUUGAUACCUUUCUAGUAAAUGAAAAGGCCCCUGGAUGCCCUUACAGUAGAGGAAAUGUAAAUAAACACUGAGUAAUUAAUUAAAUAAGUACCUACAGAUGCCUUUCCAAAGUCUUUUCCCUUCUCUACAUGCUCCUCUAGAAAAGAAAAGUGACUUCUGAAUGCCCUUCCAGCAAAUGUAACAUAAAAAUGCCCUCUGGAUGCACCUACAGUGAAUUCAACCUAAAAAAAAGUUCCCUUUAGAUGUUCAAGCAAAUAAAUUUUCACUCUGGUUGCCAUUCCAGUAAUAUCUUAAAAAUGGACCCUACCUUUCUAGUAAAUAAAAAGGCCCCUGGAUGCCCUUACAGUAAAAGAAGUGUAAAUAAACACUGAAUAAUUAAUUAAAUAAGAACCUGCAAAUGCCUUUCCAAAGUCUUUUCCCUACUCUGCAUGCUUCUCUAGUAAAUAAAAAGUGACUUCUGAAUGCCCUUCCAGCAAAUGCAACAUGAAAAUUGCUCACUGGAUGCCCUUCUUGUAAAUAAGAAUUAAAACAGAGACCUCUGGAUGAAGAGAAUACAACAAGAAAUGGCCUCCUGGAUGCCCUAAAUAAAUAGUACCCUCAGGAUACCCUAUGAUUAUAUUUUACUGAGCAUAUUUCCCAUAAUAUACACCCCUUAAAUGAGUAAAGUGUCAAAAAACUGGAAAAAGUGCCCUUCUUGUAAACCAAAUACAAAAAAAUGCCCUUCUGGAUACUCUCCCGUUUAUAAAAAUGUUUCCCUUGGUAACUUUUAGUGAAGAAUUUGAUAAUUUCUAAAGUAUGUUGAAAUGAAUGCUGUCGGUAUUUGGGAUUUAAAAACUAUUACUAUCUGUUGCCUUCAUGUUCAUUUUUGCCCUGAUUGCCCCUCCAAACUUUUUAGCUGGCUCUAAUAUUCGUACAGGAUUUAAAUAAACCAGUGAGAGAGACCAAAAACUAAAGUGCUUACAAAGUUUGUUAAAUGCUGCUUUCUAGUGUACUGCAGGGGCCCCUUUUCUUCUGCCCCUGGCCCUCAAACAGCCUGUGCACACCACUGUUGGAAACAGCAGAAUAGACUCAAUGUCAAGAUCUACGUCACACUGGAGUGAGAUGUCUGCAGGUUCAGCAUUUUAGGAGAGGGUUUGUCGCUCACAGGGGGUUCAUAUUUCCAACAUUUCAAUCAAUACAGAGCUAGAAACUGUUGUUAUGAUAGAGUGGGUUUUUUUACUAUUACAUUUCACCGCACUGAGGUAGAACAAAGAGGCCAUACUGCUCGUAUAAGCGAAUAUUCAACGCUUGUUACUUUCUUUCUGUUGCAGUUGUGUUACAUCACCCAGCCGACCAAUUUCCAUUCUUAUCAUGCUUUUUCAUGAUAGCAAAGUCCACACAAAUUGACCUAUUAGACAAUGCAGAGGAGCCGCUGUAAUGUGAGUAAUGAGGCCAGCUCUGUGCUGAAGGGUACGUGCAGGAGCCGGAGUAAGACGCUCAAUUCUCUGUGAUUUUUAUCAAUGUGGGGCCUUGGAGGGAAAGGGCGAGAACCACGGAAAAGGGUUUCACUCGUUUCCACGGAUUCAUGUCAACGAGGCGCCCCGGCUCCCACCACAUUAACUCUGCACAUAUCCUCCUCUGUUUCCCCCCCUCUGGCUCCUGAAGGAAAACAUUUGCUUUUGAAGUCCCCUGUUCGCCGUGUAACCUCCUAAAGUAUGCAUCCUUGAAGGUUUAUGUAUUUGGCUUCCACCGAUGCUGAGUACAAUGAAUUAUAUGCUUGCUCGAGCUCACCCGGGACUCACCAAUGUGAUGUUAAGUGGCGUAAUUAAGAUAUUUCGCUGUAUCUCUAGGGGGAAAUGUCACUGGCUCAGGGUUUUAAAAGAUUUAUGCCCCUGUGCUUAAGUGUCUCUCAUUGCACCCUGAGCCUAGGCUUAAGCAUGUCUUUGAGGUUUGCUUACAUCCUGUACUGCCGGUUUACGGACACGCUCACAUGACUGAGCAUAAAUUUAGGGGUGCACACUCUCCCCCCCACACACACGCUGUACACAGCCUGCAACUACACGAAUGAAUCAGCAGGUUAAUAUUUAUGAAGGCUGCCGAGCUGAUUCCUUUUGCAGAAUUUCCCCAACACAAGUCUUGCAAAUUUUGACCCGAAAAGCUCCUUCUUCUCUGCUGAUAACUUCACACGGGUACAAUCCUGCUCAACACCAAUCACACUCUCACAUUAAAGACAUGCAAAGCUGUUCGCAGAAAGAAAUGGUCUGUGUCCUGGUCCUGCAAGGUGAAAUUGAUUGCAUUAUUUGAUUAAUAGACUCGGAUGGAGAGCGCACAUAUAGAGAGCCAGUGUGUAUAUGAAAAUGGAAUCGGCCCCUCGAGGCAGCCGGAUAUGAGAAAUCAAUUUAAGGAACGACUGGAGUCAGCAGGCCCUCUGAAUUGUACAAAGGGCAAUCUCAGUGUUGUGGGUAUGCUAUUUAUUUGCCUGGGAGCUUUUGAUUUCUCAUGCAUGCCCUUUAACACCCCGGCUGCCAGACUUUGCAUUGAAUUUGGGCGCUGCACAUAUGACAAGAGGAUUGUGUUGCGCUUUGAACACCUGGAUACGCGAGGAAAGGGCCUCCAAACAUCUGUGCUGCAGGGUUGUUGUCAGCGUAUGAUGGAUGAAACAGCAGACUGAAAGGAAACAAGGAGUCCGUGUAAGGUACUUUUAAACUCUACCUGCUCGUGUCCUUCAGUAUCUUCCAGAGCGAACAUCUAUUUAAUGACUGAUGAGUACACUGUGUGACAAAAGUCCGCUCUAAUGAUUAGCUCCUGUGGAUCAAAGAAACUCAUAGAUUUUGCCUUCAAAUAGCCUUAUCAUCUUAACGUAACCAGGCAACAAAUGACUGGAUGGGUCCCCGGAGGCCAAAGUUGUUUGAUCUUGUUGGAAAGUUAAUCAAGUGGCUAUAAGUACGAGACUAAAAUCUAAAGACUACAAUAAUCACGGGGAGGCUUCAAACAACCACAAGCGCUUAAAAGAAAACAACAAAGAGACGCAUGAUGGCUAAAAAAGCUGGGGCAAAAAAUUUACAAAACAUCAGAGAGUUUAAACCAAACAGAAAGAGAUGCAACAUUAGUAUAAAAAAAACAAUAAAAACACAGAUUCAGACAAAACAGAAACUAUAGAUAGAAACAGCUACAAAGGCUUAUAAACAUUUACAUAAACUAUGAAAUUGUAAACAAAAACAAAGAGACUUUAGGUAAUCCUCAGGCCAAAACAAUCACAUUUGUUGAUACACAAAAACAAAGGUAGAAAAAACACCAAAAAAUUUGUUUAAAACAACAAUAGAGUUUUUGAUGCAAACAAAACAAACAAAAGAUCAAAUACAUUAUCAUAACAGAGACAAAAUCAGACAAAAACAAGAGCAGAGACAGGAAGCAACAGUAAAACAGCUUAUAAAGACUCACAAGGAGAUUCAAAGUGUAGAAACAUAAACAAACGUACAAACAAUAAAAAAGACUUUAACUGCCCCAAUCAUAAAUAAUCAUAAGUUGACUAAAAACAACUUUAAAAAGUGACCAAAAAAGAAAAAAAAGGCAGGUUGUAAAGAAAAAAACAUUAUCGAAUUAUACCAAAACGAUUACAGGUUGACUAAAAACGACAACAAAGAGAAACAGAAAACAACUUUAAAGGGAUUCAGACGCAAAUGAUCAAUGGCAAUGAUCAGUCACACUAUGGUUUAAAUUGUAAACAAAAGACAUACUUAUAGUAGAGCUACUCAAAAACAACAAAGGGACCGUGAAGAAAUGUAACCAGAAAAAGACAAAAACAGCAACAAAGAGACACAAAAUGACUCGAGGACAACAAAACAUCUUCAAAGGAAUCUAAAAACAAAAACAAAAAAGAGGCUUAAAUAACAUCGAAGAGAUAAAAACAUUCAGAAAAAAAGACAGAAAACAGCAACAAAGAGUUCAUAAAGAAACCCAAAAACAUGAUUCGAACUAUAAACAAAAACCAUAUCAAAGAGCGCCUAGAGUGAAAUAUUAGACGUGAAUAACUCCUUGGACCAAAACAUCGACAUAAUGACAAAAAAUGAUCACAAAGAAGCAUUAAACAACCCAAAGACAGACAGGUAACAACAAUAAAGAGACACAAAACAACCAAGAACUGGCUGCAGAGUGACUCUUUUUUACAGAAAUCAAGUGUAACAACCACAGAGACAGAAAGUAAAAGGACUUUGAAGGACCACUUAUCCUGCCUAGAAAGACAGCGGUUUUAUUUGUGAACACCUAGAAGGCCGUUUGCUUAGCUUCUCUUUUGGGAAGUUGCAAGGUCAACCUAAGUGCAGUACCUUGACAAAAAUGAACUGCCUUGCCCAAGGGCGGCUUGAAAGGCUUGACGGCGAGCUGUACAGUCAUCAGCUCACAUCUCGGUAAACAGGAUUAGUGCGAGGGAUUACAAGAACUGAGCAGCAGAUAUAUUCAUACUUGAGACAUGUUUCUGAGGAUUUUGAGGAGAAAUUUAGGUUUUUUCAAGCUGCAUAAGCAGUAAGAGAUGCUGAAAAUAGAUUAGCUGAAAAAGUGUUUCUUUCAUGUUUAGAUGAAGUUAAAAAGCAGGAUGUUCUGAAUCUGUUUAUUGUCACUCAAAUUAUCUCCAACUUUGGACAUUUCCAGGGUGGAGUUAGAUUUGUCCAGAGGGUUGAAGGAAGGAAGAGAUAAUGUUUAAAAUUCAUUCAAUUCAAGUGAAUCUGAUUGCAUCCGGUUAAAUUGCAUUGCCCGAGAUUGAAUCAAACUGUGCGGCGUUACACUGCGCCAAAAUUAAUAAAAUGUGAUUGAAUCCUGUCGGGAUGGAAUCAAAUUAGGCCGGAGUGACGUGAUGGGAGGAGGCAGCUGCUGCAUGUUUCCCUGUGCGCUCCUGUGGGCUUCCUCUACUGUUUUACAUCCGUUUGGUGCUCGCCAAGCCGCUCACCCUUUGGCUCCUGCUUUUAUGUGUCCUGCCAGUCUAAAUGCCAGUCUAACUAGCGGGCUAAUAGGCAGAGCCAGGGUGCCAGGGCCACAACAGAAUCAGUGGGCACGCUGGCUGACUGACAGAUGGAUGGAUAGAAGUGGUAGAAAGGUCCUCUUUCCAUCACUGUUGCUCAUUUUUUAGCUUAAGCGCGGCGCGAACACACUCGCACACUUCACAGCAGGUUCUCCAAAAGCUCGCCCCCUCACGGGACGCUGCAGUGUCGGUCUGGGGCUUACUUUUGGGUUCGGGCACCGGUAGGCAUGAUUAAAUGAAGAACAGAGGCAUCAGAGAAAUGGCAGAGGAGCUUCAGAUGCGCUCCAGUUUGGGCGGUACGGUUUUCAGUGACCCACUUAGGUGGGAUUUUAUAACUCCCCUGAAGCGUGGAGGUUUGCCUCGCUGUGGCCUGAUGUAAAUCACAAGCGGACAUAUGUAGGCAUAUGCAGUAUGUGUGCUUGUCCUGUUCUUGUUUUUUAUUGGCUUUAGAAAACCACAGUUGAUACGGUCUCAGCUGUUUUUGAAACAUUUUCAUUCUUAAAAGUGUCCAAAUGCGGUAUUAGGUGUAUUGCAUUACCUUGGAAAAUUGCACCUUUGUUGGAAGAGGUUUGCUUUUUUGACUCGAUAGUUUGACUUGAUAGUUUGAAUACUGAAAACACAGACUUGUGGCAACCAUAACUCAUUUACAUUACCCCGUUUGGUUCUAUUUUUGGUAAUAUAAGUAAUCUGUAAUAUAAGUUGUUAUAAAAAUGGCACAUUAUCCAAAUUCAACAAUGACAGAGCAGGUUGGUGGACAGCUGAAAUAUAAUGCUGAUAUCACAUUUUUGUUUUUUUCCUUUUUUUUUCAUUUAACAAAACAUUUCAUAUUUAAGGAGGCAGAUUUUACAUCAAAUGGGUCAUUAGGGAAGAGGAAAACUGGUUUUCAUGUAGAAAAGAUGAGAGUCAAUAUCAAUAUGAUGCCAUCUAUCGGCCUGAUUAAUCAGCCAAACCAUUAAUCUCCAAUUUAAUCUUCUAUAGUCCAAAAUAUUGUCAAAGACAGAGACCAGUGCAGGAUGGCUUUGAUAUUCUGAAUUAAAAAAGGCAUGUCUCUGUAUUGGAAGUCACUGCAUCAGCUAAAGAUUACCCCCAAAAAUCACUAGUUGAGAAGAAAAAAUGCACCAUGCCAAAAGGAAACCAUUUAUGAACGUGGGCCUGAAUCUCUUUGGACUUCUCUGAUCCCAGACAUCUUGUUCAAAAGCCAAAAUUCAGUUCCAUCAACUUUUACAAACUUUUUUAUCCUCAGCACUUAAUGUCUGUGUUUCUACUUUGUUGUUUGUCAUACUUAGAGCAACUUCUGCAGUGAACUUGUUAAUUGGCGCAGCAACAACUUCACGUCUCAGCUUACCUACAUGCACAAAAUCAGACGCGCCUUUUCCUGCACCUGCCGAAAACAUUACACCUUAAAAACGUGAUAAUUCUUUUUUGACACAAACGUCUCAAUAUCUCAGUUGUCAGUCACUCCUAUUAUCUUUGGAAACACCUUCUGCAGGAGGAUGUUGACGAGUGAAUAUCGCUGAGGUGUUUGUGAUGAUCGCGUCGGUUAGCGUGCAUAAACUAUCACAAAUCUUGCCAAUCAAUUCCCCAAACUUUCCUUCACAAAAUAGUUGCCAUUUGUUCAAGAAAAUAAAAGGUUAUAUUGUGCAAAAGAGGCAAGAAAUCUUUGCUCAUAUCAGACUGAAAUUAGGAUGAGCAGUGAAUUGGUGCAGACAUCCCUCCUGAAAGAGACUUCACAGCAGAUGCACCCACAAAAAUAAUAAAACCCUCUUUAUGAGUCCUCAUUAAACAAGCCUUUUUGUGGGGGCAGACUGAUGCACUGCAGCAGGUGAAGUACAGUGGACGAGCGCCAACACGCUGACAGAUGAAAUUUGGCCUCAGACGGCAGAGAGACGGACAUAGACGGAUGACAGGACGGGGUGGCCUCGUGACAGAUUUACAGACAGCUGAAUGUGCGAACGUUGAGACGCAGAUAGAGCCAUAAUGAAGAGGAGCUUUCUAUUGACAGCCAAGCGGCGACAUUUUUCAGCUCCUUCCUGCUGGAUGUGGGCCCCUCGUCGAUGGAGGAUUAGUUAGUGCUAUCCCACAGAGGCAGCUGAAUGUCUGUACAGUCCAUCACAGUGAUUAAGAAAGGGGACUCAUGCUAAUUGUUGCCAGACUGGGUUGGCAGACGCUAAUGAGGUAGUGGCACAGGAUUUGGAAACACCUAUCAGAGGAAUGAGAUGCUCCGUUAAAGGGAUAUUCCAGCGUAAAAUUAAUUUAGGGUCAAACACACUGUAACACAAAGUUAGACACCCCGUCGAGAGAUGAAUGUUGCCGACCGCUUGCUUCUCUAGUUAUACCAACUUUAGUAACGACCGCACGAUAGCAAUACACAGUGAUCUGAGGAGCCAUAAACAAACCUCAAUCAAAACGCCACUCUAUAGCCACAAAUAAUGCUCAGAACAGCACCUAACUUCAUCAACAGGACAUGUAGGGUCCCAGCCAUAGCACUAGCUACCUCAUCUACUCUCUUCCAGCAGCCGCUUGUUUGUAUCGAGACCUCAGGCCAGUUCAUUACGAACUACAGCGGGGUGACGCAGCUCAAGGAAGAACAUUUAUGAUCAUUUCUUCAUCAAACUGAGACGCCAAGGCAGAAGAACUACCGCAUCUACAAUGCAAAAUGAUUAAUAUAGUGAUUAUUACAUCAAGGAUAUGAUAAAGAAAUUAUCAUAAAUGUUCUUCCUUGAGCUGUGUCACCCCCCUGUAGUCUGUAAUGGACUGGUCUGAGGUCUCGCUUCAAACAAGCGGCUGCUGGAAGAGAGUAGGUGAGUUGUGUUUAGUCUCUUUGCUAAAGAAAUCAGGCAAAGUUAAAAAGAUGUUUGGUGGCUAGUACUAUGGCUGUGACCCUAUAUGUCCUGUUGAUGAAGUUAGGUGCUGUUCUGAGCAUUAUUUGGCGUUUUGGUUGAGGUUUGUUUAUGGCUCCUCAGACCGCUGUGUAUUGCUAUUGUGCGGUUGCCACUAAAGUUGGUAUAACUAGAGAAGCAAGCGGCUGGCAACAUUCAUCUCUCGACGGGGUCUCUAACUUUGUGUUACGGUGUGUUUGACCCUAUGCCGGAAUAUCCCUUUAAUUAUAUCACAUGGGCUUCUCCAUCAAAUUAAAAACAGUCUGAGAAGAUUAUUUGGAUAUAACUAACUUUGUCCUGUUGCUUUCGGUUAUUCCUUGUUUGUAUGGGGAAGACGUCUUUGUUAAAAACAGAGGCGUUUGAACAGUUCUGCAAAACUACAACCCCAGAGCAGGACAUUCAGCUCUACUUUGGUCUCCAGGUAACAGAAAUCUUCUCGAAAAUGUAUUCAAAAUGAACAACCAGUACUUGUGCUCUAAUGGGAAUAAUAAGCACCAAGUGUUAAUACCCAUCCCAUUAUGCCCUCGCUCCUACAUUUUCCUCUAAUGCUCCCCAUUAUUCAAGUAAGAAUUUGGACAAAGAGGCAGCAAGAGCUUCUGCAACCCUCUUAGUUUUCAAGUUGGCAACCUCUUGAUGAGGACAUCUCAACAAUAAACUCCCCUUUAUGCUAACUCUCGAAAACCUACAUGCGAAAAGAAAGAACAGUAAGAUGAGUCUGUGGAAGGUGUUGGAAAGAGGGCAACAUAGAGUGGGCUGCAGGGAAGUACUGGAUGUCCUUGGUCACUUAUCCAAAUUGCCAAUCUCUCCUAGAGGCUUCCAUAUUGCCGGAUAAUUGGUGAUCAGCUCUGAGAUUGACUUGUGAUUGAAAGUGGCAUGAAAUAAGUUAAUACCGAGUCAGGAUGACAAAGGUCUCGGGCUGCUCCCUGUAAAUGUAGAUGUUGUGAUUACAAAGUCAGCAGGUUUCCCCCUCCCCAAGGCCAUCAGCGCUAACUUGUUUAAAGCUUAAAUUAACUUAGAUCAGCCAGAAGAGCACUGAUUGAACCUGAAAACUAUUCUGUCCCACUAAACUGAAUGCUUUGAACCCGUCUCUCUGCUGGCUGGCAUCGAAUGCUGCUCAUUCUUUCCUCUGCUGGUCUUGCUAUUCAAAUUUCCCUUUGGGCCUACUGUAUUAAAUUAUCCUCCGCUGUAUUGUGCUGUAGUGUAUCCAUCAUGUUUCCUUGUACCCAUUCAUUCAUCCAUCCAUCCAUUCAGACACCGGGGCCCUUGGCUUGUCAUCUCUGCUGGUUAAUUAGCCCAAAUUGUGAUUGAUGGACUCCCUGGUGAAUAGCUUGUGGUCCUGUUGCUGACCCGCCCAAGGAGAUCAACCUACCUGCCAAUCACUCCUCACAAUAGUCUCAUGAACAAGCGGCUAGGACAGAGAGCGUGAGACAAGGCUUGUACCCUGACCCCAUCCAGCUGAUAUUUCCAAGAAUUAGGUGACAUGAGGUGGUCCGGUUCUGGGGGAAACGGUCCUUCUUGUAAAUGAUGAAGGGAUGAUCACGGAAAGGGAUCAGCUCUCUCAGAUUUCUCGUCUUGUGGUUGAUAUCUUGUUUACGUGGAGGCAGUUCUUGAUGGGGAAAAGAUGAGAGGGAAAGACAAGGAGGAAGGACACUUGAGAUGUGGUCCGGGUACGGCAGAGUAGCUCAAAGCAAGGCCAAACCGGUUCUGCUUUCCUGAUUGCCUCUCCGUGCCAGACAAUCUUCAAACAGAAUCUGGUAAUGCAAUGUGGGCCAGCUUAUUUUUGUUCCUAUGACUCUUCCCUUCCACUUUUUUCCCCCUCUUUCAUUUCCUCCUCUUUUCAUGUGCUCGCCGUGUUUCGUGGUCCUCCCACACGAGUCUCAUCACCAGCGUCUGUGGGGGGAAGAUAUCCAGUUCUCCCCUACGUGGGAAGCCUUUCAAGCAGGGCCCAUGCUUAAUGCUAUUUGCUCGGGAAGCUAAUGAUGUUUGUUGUUCUCGUGCUCAAUAUAGUUAUAACCACCUAUGGAUUUUAUGUUACUCGACUCACUUCUAGGCUCGGGAAUCUUCAACUAAAGAUGUUUCGAGGUUGCUCCGUCAAGCAGGUUAUUAACUCUCAAAAGCCUAAUGAUCGUUCUGCAAGCGCUCAUCAGGCAAAUUGUAGGCGUGUUUUUAAUUACUCUGUACGUAGUCAUAACUUCCCAUCAUUCCCAGCCUAAAGCAAGCCUCCUGGGGUUUUUGUUCACCCGCCCAAAGGUGUGCUCUUCCAAGGAGAUUCGUCAAGCAUGUUAUUCAGAAAAUUAGUUGUUGACUGACAUGCCAGGUGACAUUUUGUCCUCGAAUGCAAGUCGAAGACAAUUGUAACUACUAUAACCAUCUUCAUACUCACUUUCUACAUUAGUCACCAAUGAGGGAUUCUUCAAACCCGUAUCUCACUGUAAACUUUCUCUAAUUAGGUGGUGUUCAUGUUGUUUGCGCCUCUCUGAGAAGAAGAAAGAGUGUUUCUGGAGGAAAGGAGAUUUGCGGGACCAGUGCCAGCGUCGGCCGUCCUUUCAUGUGGAUGUAUACGCUUCAGGAAAUGAGUCAUGAGAGAGCCGUGUGAUCACAUGGAUUCACACAUGCUUUUUUUUCCAGCCGGUUGAUAUAGUCUAAUUGUAAUGAACAUCAUAGGGACUAGAUAAUCCUCCGCCUGCAUCUCUCGUACAGCAGCUUCAGACCAAUAUGUGUCUGUUCUGUUGACAGUAAUCAUCAGCAGUUCAUUUCACAGUUAUACAAAUAACACGACUUUUACGACGCCAGGCUCGCUUUUUAUUGACAAAUCUCAUCGUUUCAAAAUUUAGAGCCCGAGAUAUAAAGCUUUCCCGUUAUGUCCUAUACAUUUACUGUCGCACACACUCUCUCUCUGUCCCUCAACAGCUUAAUGAUAGACUGCUGUGUCUUCAUCACUUUGUCAACAGCAGUGCAAACCAGGGAUGUGCCAAUAUACGAUUUAAUCGUGAUAUGCGAUAUUAAACGGCCGCGAUGAUGAAAUCGUAGAGUACUGUAAUAAUUGUUCCACAGUUAUAAUUUAAAGACGAGUGGGGAGGCGAGUGAAGCUGAGUACUUACCAACCUAACCCUCUUGUAGUAACAAAAUGUACAAACAAACCACCACAAAAGUAGUCCGAAAUCCAAAAAACUCUCCAAUUAAGUACAUUAAUGCCAGCCUGACAAAAACGGGAACAUUGAAAGAGAAAUGAAGACAUUUUAAAAACAAAAUGCGUGGCCACCCACAAUGCAUUGCGGCCACCUAAAGCACUGUUGGAGCGUGUCCACUCUGUGAACCAGAAACAGACUGAAGAAGAAAAAAAAAGUUGACGCACACGUUUCAACUUCCAGCCAACGUAACGAUGCAGCCGGACCAAGAACAGUCAGAGACUGAGAAUGACGAAACGCCUCAACUAUAUCCUCCUAUUAAAAAGGUUUUGUUGGCAGUACGGACGUUUUACGGCUUCACAAAACAGACGGAGCAGGUCAACCUGACACCAAUCUGCAGGUUAUGCUGUACGGAAGUUGCAGCGCCGUUGUCUAACAUAUCAAACCUACGUGCCCACCUCCGUGAACACCAUCCAGCAUUGUUCGCCCAAAGUUUGGUCUACUCUACUGCUUAUUAUUGACAACGAUGGUGACGUUUCUGCUAACUUUAGCUCCAAAAAGCUCAUGCUCCCAACGCCGCGUUACCUGCCUCUUGCUCAUAUUGUCUGUAGAGAAGUGAUUUCGCAGUUUUUAAUUUUUAAUUUAAUAACGUUAAAAGCAAUGCGCUAAUAUCGUGAUAAUAUCGUGAAUCAUGAUAUUUUGGGCCACCAAUAUCGUGAUAUCAAAUUUUUCAUAUCAGCACAUGCCUAGUGCAAACUAUCAGGUAGCAACAGGUGGAGAGAGGAAAACAGGGAGAGGAGCAGGAGGAGGCGGAUGUGCGUCUGAAAAGCCAAAGGACAGAAUGAGCUCGGAGGGGGGUGACGAUGUUUGUGCAAAAGUGUUUCUCGAGAAAAUCUUGAAGGGAGAUUUGUAGAAGCAUCGCCAUUGUUUGGCCGUCCUUUCACGGGAAUGUGUACGCUCCAGGAUAUGAGUCAUACGAGAGCCGCGUGAUCACAUGAAUUCACAAGUGUUUGAUAUUGACUAAUCCACAGCUUUUAUGAAAGGAGAGACUGUUUGUGAUCAGAUACGACGCUUCGUCUGCUGAAAAGAAAAAGAUGAAUUUAGGAGUUUCUGCCCAGUGUGGGAAUCCCAAACAGCAGGUUCCCCGUCAUAAAACUCUCAUGCAUGAAAUCCUUAUUAUUGUGCAUUUACUUGAACAAGACGUCAUCGGAGAGCCAGAUUAGAUUUCUCAGCAAGCCAUGUUGUGAGAGCAGAGUGUGUUCCAGGCUAGCUAAAGUCUGUAUAUUGCUCCGAGAGAGCCAAAUUACUUUUAUUUCACGCUGCUUUUCAUCCAUCCUGUUGAGUCCAGAGUAGGCGACCACAGAAAUGAUAGAUCGUCUCGGCACUCGAGGCGAAAGCACCCGCCGCGGACGUGGAGAAACAUUACAAUUCGGCUCCUCAGUCAAUAAGCAACAAGAAUCUUUGCUGGAAGCUGCUGCAAAAAAUUGGGGGGAGGACAGGAGGAGCGGGGUGGGGGUGGAUGCUGUACCGGCUCUGGCAGCUCUCUCCCCAAGGAGGCGGCCUGAGCCACAAAUUAAUAGAGCGCUCCCACAUGAUCGGCGAGUUUCAUUUGGAACCGUCACGCUACAUAAAGCCCCACAGAAAUGAGGAGUUCGCUGAGGUCCCCCCUCCACUUCCCCAAGAGUCCCCGAGUAACCUGUGUGAUUGUAACACUCGGCCCCGCUGGUCCCCCCCCCCGCCACCUGUGCGCCUCCCUCCUUGAACAUCACGGAGAAGGCUUUGCUCCAGCUCACCCUGCUUCAAUUACCCAAACCCUAUUGUUCCUUUUUCUGCACCCUUUCAAAGUGAAUCAUACAAACCCUGCCGCCCCUUUAGGUUUCAAGCUCUAAUAAACAGCGGCAUCCCAAAAAUACUACAACAACACAAGCACAGUGAUGAAUAUUUCAAGCUGAAAGUUCCUGCGAAGAACCCGGAGAAAGUUAAAGUGCUUAAAGAUUGAAACCAAUGGAAGAUAUUUGACUCUAAUCUCAGCGCCCUGAUUUAUUGGCUUACAGCACAUCUUAACAUUCCUGCUUAUUUUCCCCCCCUCUUCCACACAGAAUCUCACAGACACUCAUUUGACAACAGCGUGAAAUUCUUAGUGACAAAUGUGGAGAGUGCUGCGCCCCUGAGGCCCGCUCGACUCUUAUCAUUAUCUUUGCAAUGCCUGAGAUUAGACACAGCAACCAACUCUCUCACAACAGCAAGCCUGCGAGCGAGGAUUAACACAAUGACUAAUCACUCAACUCACUGGACACAAAACAUACGCGACUGAUUCAUAAUUUCCCACAAAGUCGACUUAUUAAAAAUUGGCGCCGAAUAUUUGCUCGUGGCGAAACAUCGUAUACAAAUAAUAUAUUGAGAGGAAAUUACCAAAUCGUCUUUUUGUGUCAGAGAAACAAUUUCGACAAAAGCAGUUCUGGGAAAGAUUCCUACUACGGUAUCAGAGGUUGUUGGGGAAUGUCAAAGAGCCGUUUUGAAGACAUGAAAUCAAUAUGAAAUGUCAAACCAAUCGAAGACGGGCUGAGUACAUGUGAAUGUAUUUAAUGUGUACAUGAGGGAGGCUCAUAUCUUCCAUGGAGCGGUCUUCAUUUAUUCAUGGAUUCCUGGAUGGUGAUGUUAGUCUGGCAGCUCCGGGAUGAUUCGUACAACAUGGUAUUAAGACAGAAAAGACAUGAGGAUUACAAGAGGAAAGUUGUUCGAUGGUACAAGAGAAAUACUGGUUAUUUGGGUCACAUGUUAGAGGGAUAACCAGCAGCUGGUCCCCUGCUAAUAUAUGAGGAAGACGUUGCAUCUAACUGUCAUCUAAUUGCAUCAACUGUCUGCUCUUCUGUAAAACAGGCCAACUGUUUACCACUACGAUGGCUUUACUAUAACUUAAUUUUUACAGAUUACAACUAUUUCCUUCAUAUACAACCUCACCCUUGUGACGUUAUAUAAAGUCUCAACGUUUCAACCUUCGGUCCAUGAAUCUUCAGCUUGAAUCUCCUAACAUGAAAAGUUUGUUCUCGAAAUAUUCAGACUUUUGUAUCCUUGUAACAUUAUCACAUUUAUUCUUUUAAUUUUACGACUUUUUUUGACCAAUUUUUUUUAAUUUUUAUGCCUUUUGUACGACAUUGUUCUCCUUACAGUAUUAAAGUAAUUAGGACUUUGUUAUGACUUUUCUCCCCCAACAUAAAGCUCAUCCUGGAAAUAUUAUGAAUAUAUCGACGUUAUUUUUGUAACUUUACGACAUCUUAACUCUUAACAUUCAGACUCAUUUCUCUCAAUUAUAAUCUGUACUUUACUGUUUAUAUUUAGUUUUCGUAGUAUGACUUUUUUUGUCUUACAGCUUCAUUCUUGUAAAAUGCGAACUUCAAUUUUUAUUAGCCUUAUUCUGAAAACAUUAAGACUUUAAUUUUGUAGUAUCAUGACUUUUAUAUUUUAUAUAUAAUAUUACUUGACAAUAAAUAUAAAUUUAUAUUAAUAAAUAUAAACUUAAGUAUUAAUAUUAAGUUCAAUAUUAUUUUAAUAAUAUUAUAUUUAUAUUUAGUUUUCGUAGUAUGACUUUCUUUGAGUUAGAGUUUCAUUCUUGUAAAAUGUGAACUUCAAUUUUUUAUAGCCUUAUUCUGAAAACAUUAAAACUUAAAUUUUGUAGUAUCAUGACUUUUAUUUUUAAAAUCUUAUAGAUUUCAUAGAUUGACAAUUGAAAUAAAAUCUUUUAACCCUUUGUCGGCCUUCUUGGUAACCCUUUAACCUUUACCUAAAGUCAUCUAUGUUAGCAUUGGUCUCUUUAAACGCCAAUGAGGUCAAGAUAGCCAAGCAUAUCUUAACCUUGGAUUUUAUCUUCGUAACAAAACCCACGGUCCUGAGGACGCGUAACUAAGCCUGGGAGUAAAUCACUCUCAAUCAAUUUUAAUUCGCUAAAGUUUAAGAACGAGGUUUGUAGUUGCUUCUCUUGACUUACAGACCCAGCCUCUAGUGGACGUUUGAGGAACUGCUUUUUUUGUAACUUCCUCGUUGCCCUGUUCUUUGCAAGACAUGAUUUUUAAGUGACAUUUGAUUACUGGCGACUAAAGAUGUAGUGUAUAUAUAUAAAGCCAUUCGUAGGAAAGCAGGUUAAAUGUACGCUACACCCACUCCCUGGUAAAGUCUGCGGGGAUAAAUGGACAAUUAUGCAGGCGGAAGUUUCCAAAGUCCUAAAAAAUAGAAACAUUAUCUUGUUUCUGCCCUUGGUCUGUUAGCCAAGCUCAGUUUUGCACUUGAAAAAAGGAGAGAAAAGUACGCCCACUGAGUGAAAUCUCCAACAAAAGUAUCUGGAAGGUCUGCUGCGUAAUGGCGGGACCUUUCCCUCCGAUAUUCUCUCCACGUGUGCGAACAAAUGAGCCUAAACUGAAGUGAACUUGUUUCCUUGAGUGUGACCGUGUCUGAUGAAAUCUUCCCAGCAGUGACAUGAAAAAGAAAAAGAAAACAAUUCAACACUUUGAAGUUAGUUCUGUGUUGUUUGCCAGAGAUACAGUACAGCGUAACAAUUUUCCCCAGCACCCCAGGCUGGCACUAUUGAUCCAGUGUCUCGGAGUGUUGCAAACAAUUUUGCGUUUCUCUUUUCUCUCUCGCUUUGUUCCUCCUCUUUCCAAGAAUGAGAAUCUGUUAGCUUCCUGAAUACUGAUCCUGGCUCUGUGUGUUCCCGCGACCCGAGGUGCUGUCGAGAAACCUGAGUGCAGGAAAAGGGUCAUCAUUUUGAAAGACGCCGUUAUCGACUCAGCGAGAAAUACUUAUUUUUUUUAAAGAUCGCACCAAUGAAUGAUGUUCUUUGUCAUCUCCGACAGAAGUAAGGUCGAGAUAAGGACCGUUUCUUCGUGCUUUGAGGAAAAAAAGGGCGAUUGUUGUUACCUAACUUAACCCUUUUUACAGGAUUCCCUUGAGUGCGCUUGUUCCCCUUUAUCGUUUUAACGGUAGCCCCGUUUUAGCUCAGCCCUUACGUAACCGCUCCCUGAGAAAACCGGAAACACAAAGACAAAGUCGCUUACAGUAUCCUUGGGUACUCCGCCGCCCCCUCAAACAAAACCAUUAGUUAUGUGGAGAGGUUGCAGCGUUCACUUGUGAUGGAGCGCACAGGGGCCUCAGGUGACGCAUGGCCCGGGCUUUGGCAGAUCCUGUGUCACUCCAAGGUUGUUUAAUGGUUGCCUUUAUUCCCCCCUCCUGUUAUAGAUUUGCGGGACGUGACUGUGAAGCCUCAGCACCUGCAUCCCUCCUUUUAUGCGUGCGUGUGAGCGGAGGAUUCGAGCUGAUCCGACGCUCAUACGUCUUUCUGCUGUGAAAUCUGGCGCCAUAUGUGUGUAAAUCAAAUCUGAUUCUUGCAAAGAGCUGCUAAAGUGGAAAAUGAGUUAUAAGGGGGAUGGAUUGUGUGUUUGCGGGCGCAUUUAUUUCAGGGUUUUGCUUACUCUUUGAUUUCUCCUGUUUUGGGUUCUGCCCCCUUUCUAGCUCAAGGCUCGGAGCGUUGAGUGAAGAUGCAGCACCCGUAUCUGGCUGCAUCAGCAAAACUUUAUGCAAAACAUAACACACAAACACACAGGAUGAUGCACAAACACACACACACACACACUUCGGAUGUUCCUAGAAUCCCAGAGCCCCUGCAACGCGGCUUGAAAUCUUAAGAUAAUUGCAUAAAUUUUCAACCACAACUCCACAACAGAUGGAGUGAAUUUUUUAUAAAGAUACAAUUUUAUGGUUUGCAACUUAUUUACAGCCUGUAUUUGAUUAAAAACUGUAGAAAGACAAUAUAUAAAAUGUUGACUAUUAAGUUUUGAAGCCCACAAACAGUCUUUGUUGUCAUUUUUGUGUCAUUAUGUACCAUAGUAUGUGCCAGGACUCUUCCACUACAGAGCCAUGCUGUAAGGAUUUGUGUAUUGUCAUAAUAUUUAAGAUUCUGAGAAUAAGUUUGGUUGUUCCUCUCGUCUAUACUGUGUCCAUGAUUUCCAAAACGAAUGUCAUAUUUUCAUUUUUCAUACCUCGAGACAGUUUUCCACUUAGCAAGUCAAGAGCUGUCGUUAGCAUCUUUACAUCAUGUUAAUUAAUGGCUUUACAUGAUAAAGUUCCAAUCAGUUUUUUUGGAUGCAGCAACAAAUGGGAUUUUGAGCUGAUGCGGUGACUUCUACUACAGAGUCAUGUCUGUUUUAGUUUCAGUUAUGGGCCUUUUUUAUACAGAGACUUCUCCAGCUUCUCUGUAUCUUUAAAAAUAUUUCGUACUCUAGAUGAUGAAAUACCCAAAUUCUUUUGCAAUUUUAUGUGAAGAAACUUUUUAUUUUUUUAAAUUGAUGCACUAUUUACCCACCUGACACCAGUAAUUGUUUUUCUUUGCAUGGUAAAGUUUAAGCUAGCAUGUGUUGCUACAGGAACAAACUGUCCUGACAGGACAGGUUUUUGGAAGUGAUUUUGAGCUGAUGCGGUGACUUCUGCUACAGUCAUGUCAGUUUUAGGACCAGUUAUGGGCGUUUUGUAAAGAUAUUCCUCUAGCUUCUCUGUAUCUUUAAAAAUAUUUUGUAUAGUAGAUGAUGAAGUCCCCAAAUUUUUAGCAACUUUAUGUGAAGGACCUUUUUUUUAAUGCUUCACUAUUUACUUACCUGUCUAUUCAAGAUAAGAACAGAGAUUAGGGUUUUUUUAAGUUGUACACUGAUAAGAAGCCAAACGAUAACGAGGCAUCCAUGAUUUCUAAAAAUUAUAUCACCAGUAUUUGUUUUUCUUUGCUUGGUGAAGUUUUAGCUAGCUAUCCUGACUGGACAGGUUUUUGGAAGUGAUUUUGAGCCGAUGCGGUGACUUCUACUACAGAGUCAUGUCUGUUUUCAACUCACUACUACUUCAGGGCCUAAAGAUGAGGCCCGUCAACUAUCUGUUGUAGGUCUUGUUCCUUUUUGACUUGAUUCUCUGCGUCUUUUAAUGACAGUAAAUCUAAUUAAUGAUGAUUUUAACUCUAAUUAGUGAACUGUUAACUCACACGGUCUCUCAUUGAUUAGAACCUAUUCCCAUUUUUACUUCUCAGAGACUCUGCCUCUCAGGGAAGCUCUUUUUGUAUCCAGUUAACUCUUAUGAAAAAUGAGUCGGUGAAUCCCUGAGUCCCUAAAUUCGGCUUGAAAUCUUGACAUAAUUGCCAAAGUUUUAAUUUAAUGUUCAACCAUGCGAUGUGUGUUCCCCGUUAAGGGGAUAAGCAGAGGGGAAAAUUCCAGCGUGGACUCAAAAUCAGGACCUCCCGGCUCGCCCCCUGAUUAUUGUCCAAUCAUAAUCUCUCUUGGCGGGAUCCCCACUUGAGCGAGUGAUCAUGAGAAGGCCCGAUAGUCUAUCAGCAGCACAGAGGGAGGGAGAUGCACUCAGUGUGCCCCACGCUCAACAUGCUCAGCCAUCUGCGGCGCCUCCGAGCUGCAGAACUCCCGCAGCUUUUUUUUGGAAGAAGUUGCAGGAAAUGUGCGAGGGAUAAAAAUUGAAAAACGAGUGCCAGGCGAGGUCAGCAGAACACUUGCCGCUGAGCUGGAUGCAACAUGUAAAUGUCUGGAUAAAUAAAAUCAGCACUUGUCUUCUUUCUCGUGUCUGUGGCGCAAAGUAAGAAUCAAUUAGAGCAUUUCGGGAUCCCAGAGUAAUCCUGGAUGCUCUGAAGCAGUCACCGAGUGAUUUGAUAUGCUGAUUAUCUGACAGCAUGUGCUGGGCUUGUGCAAAAAAAGGGAGGUGUGAAGCGCAGAUCGGCAUGAACCCUCACAAAGCUGCUUGACAUCAUAGCAGCGGGAGAAAUCAGCUGCUCCCACCUCUGCACGAGCUGUAAGUCGCUUUGAAUUUCACCCUCGGCUCGCUCUUGACACCUAUCUUGUAAUGCUAUUUCACCCGCUGCUGUUUGUUGGAGACACCGUCUGCAUGCCAUGAUAUCCAACCUCCACCUCCUGAAGCUCACAUCAAACCCAGCUUCACUCUGCUCGGCCUCAUGAGGGAAUCCAUCAAAUUGGAAGUUUGUGUCUAACAGGGCUGCAGAAAGCCAAAAAAUAAAAAAAGGGUCAGGUUUUUCCUGGAGAAAAUCUGAUUGCUGCAGAAAUUCAUGUGCUCCAACCGCAGGAACCCACUCCGCUCUGUUCGGUCGACCCUAAAUAAACACAUAUUUGCUCAUUUUACGCAAGUGAGAGUCAUGCUAAGCAGCUCCGCGUCAGUGCGUGUGGGGCAGAGAGAGUGGCUAUUGUUUGCCACGCACGGCGGCCGAUGCUAUCAGCGCUAAUCAACUGACUGGGUUAUUGUGCCGGGAGCUGCCGGAGGAAACAGACUGCUCUGUAUGAACCUCUGGGGGGGCAGUUAGAGGGUUCAGGGUUUAUGACGACGUGCAUAUGUGCUCAUCAGGUGUUCUCGUUGCUGCGCUCCGUAUCACGAGGGAAGGGAACUGUUAGGAUGAUGACCUUGUUAGCUGCAGAGAGGCUCAGUGUGGGUGUUUGAACACCAGGCCUGAGGCUGUUACAAACAAUGGCUUUCAUUAUACAUGAAUCUGAUACUAAUGAAGUGAUUAUUGGUUUGUUUGUUGGAGAAAUCAUUUCAAGCUCAAAUGUGUUUUGAUGUAGAACAGAAAAAGUAUUGAAUUUUCUACCCUGAAGGGCUGAAACUUGUUGCGGUUCGCACAUUUUGAGCCAAAGGCCUUUAGUGAUUUUGUCAAGAGCAGAACUAUUAAGUGCUUACUUUUCAAAUCAUUAUGAACUGCAGAGUUUGAGUAACCGAUAGCUUGUAUGAAAGCAUGCUGACGCUUAGUAAUCCCCAGUUGUUGCGUUUGCACUCUUCAGGAGUUUCUUUGUUGUGCAGUUAUUUAAUGUUAUUUAGGUUUACCCACUGACAUCCAGUCAUUUCUGGUACUUUUCAGGAGUUUCAUUCUCAUAAAUCUCUCCACUGUUUCAUCCACAGGAAUAUUGCUUUGCUGGUUUUUGUGAGAUGUUUACGAUUUCAGACUGACAUCCUGUAAUUCCUUGUUUAUGGGGUUGCAUUUGCAUUUCUCAGUUCCACUUCUGUAAAUGUCCAUUCUUGUUUGAUAUAAGUUUCAUCCGUAAUCAGUUCUGAUUUGUUGUGCAGUUAUUUUGAGAUUGUUUUGAUCACUCACUAACAUCCAGUGACUUUGGUUAAUGCACUCUUCAGGAGUUUCAGUUUGGUAACUUUCUCUACUUUUUUAAUGUUUCGUCCACAGGUUUGUGACGGUUCUUACACUCCAACAUCUUGCUCUGCUUAUUUUUGUGAUACAAUCUCCCGCUGACAUUUAAGAUAUUUACGAUUGUUCACUGACAUCUAGUGUUUCCUGGUUAAUGCAAUGGCAUUUGCACUUUUCAGGAGUUCCACUCCACUAUAUUUCUGCUUUUUCGAUAUAAGUUACAUCUGCACUUUUUGAUUAUUCUUACCUAGGGCUGAGUGAUAAAACGAUAAAGAUAUAUAUCAAAAAUUAAUUUCCCUCAAUAUCAACAUAAAACGUGGUCAAUAUACUUUUAAAUAGUCGGCAUUCUGCCAUGUUUUGGUAGACCGUAUGAACAGCCAAUGAAAAGGGGAGUUGCUUCGGGUCUGCUUUGCGCCGAGCCAAUCAAUCAUCUUAGAACCAAGUAGCAAACAACCGUGUAGUAGCCGGCUGCAGCUACACGCAACCAUCACACUUUAACACGUAAAGCCGACAGCACUGUUGGUGAGAAAAAAAGAAAUGCAGACGAAGGCUCAACAGAUGACGACAUUGUCGACAACACUGGCAUGAAAACGUCGGUGGUGUGGAGGUGUUUUGGUUUUUCGAGGUCGGACAUGAAGCAGAGUAAUGUGGACUGCAAAUUAUGUCGAGUACAUGUUCUCGCAAAGUCGGGGAAUACCUCAAAUCCUUUUCACUGCCUGAAACAGUGCCACGCGGCAGAGCACGCGCAAUGAAAAAGGUUACAAACCCCGAGCGUUGCAAGGAGCCCAUUGCGCCUGUGCAGCCGAUAUGCCGCUUCCUCUUGCGCAACGCCUCACGACAAAAACGUUGAGAAACAAAGACCUCACAGAUGCAGUAGCUUGUUGUGUUACAAAGAUGUGCUACCAAUAAACACUGUUAAAUUUCAUUUUUUAUAUCAUUAUAUAUAUUGAUAUCGACUGAUACGAAAAAACUAUAUUGUGAUAAAUUUUCCAAUAUCGCCCAGCCCUAUUCUUACCCUUUUAAAUAUUGAUUUGCUGAUAUUUGUGAUGCAGUUACAAGCUGACAUUAGGGGUAUUUUUGACCUCCAGUGAUUCCUUGAUAAUGUUAAAAACGAUACACACAGAGCUUUAGAAAUCCAUCAUGUUAUUAAUAUACAUGAGAUUACCCGAGCGUAAAAGCAUCUCAUUUUUUGACGUCCUCUGCAUCUUUGUUUACUGUAAUAAUAAACAACAUAGGUCUGCUAAGUCAUCACUUUGAGCCUCAUGAACUUGCCAUCAUGAGCGCCCAUAUUUAUGGUCACAUAAUGGACGUCCUGUAGCCGCAGAAGAACGAGACAUCAUCAAAUGCUCAUUUGUUGCUCCCGCGCUUACGCUACAUUACACAAGCGUGCACGCGUGCGCUGAUUUAUUCACGCACGCAUUGACCGCCGCUUGUCCACAUGUUGCCACCGUUUAGACCGUCCCGCGUUCAUUUCCGCGCGCACUCAUGUAAGGAAGAUGUAAACAAUAAAUGAGGCGGCUGGGGGGAAAUCGAUGGCGAGGGUGUACGAGGCGCGUUAAUGAAAUCUCUGCUGCUCAUUAAAAUCACCUUAGGGUUGACAUUGUGGCUGCUACCGCUCAGAUUCCUUAUGGAGGUCAUUAUCUUGAUUAUUUGCAUUUUAUUCCCUCAUUACUGUAUUAAAAUGAAAUAAAUACAUGCAAAAUGUAUAAAAUCUAUGCCUGUACUAUAAGAUUAUAUGAAUGUUUAAACAGCUUAAUUUGCAGCGGCUUUAUGUGACUGUGUGUGAGUAUAAUAGUGUGUGUCCUCAGGCCCUCAAAGUCCUUCUACAGUUUUUUAGUGUGUAUUAAAGCUCUGCGUCUGAUGGCUCUAUUGGAGACUCUGUGUGUGUGUGUGUGUGUGUGUAUACAUGCCCGUGCGUGUGAAUACACCCAUGUGAACAAGUGAUUUAUGGGCUGUUUUUAAUCAGGCGCUAGAAAAUGUUAUUAGACAGCCUUCUCGCGCUCCCUCCGCCUGCAAAUGAGCCGGCCCCGCUGCACCCUGGGAUAGCCUCCUGUAAUUAGUUCUGGGAACUCACCUGUUACUGAGUCGAGGCUGAGGGAGAGGGAGGGAAGAAGGGUAUCAAGCAGGCAGAUAAACAAACAGAGAGGGGGAGAGACUGAGGAGAAGGUGAGCGAGGUUGAGGGUGAAGAAAAGGACCAAGAGGAUGAGAAAGACGGGGGCGCGCUGUUAUGAAAAGACAGAGGAAGAAGCUGACCUCAAGACAACAACACCUCCUGGUUUUUCAGCCCGCUAACAAGCUAGCCAGAGUCUGGCAGCAUAAAUUAGUAUUGAGUGAUGCUGGGAAAAAACACUCUGCACAAUCCGAAAACAACAGGGCUGGAUGUGUUGUGUGGAAAUCUUCUCUCAGGUGUAAAAAAUCUGAGUUACAAACCCACAGCAGCAACUUUACUUUUGUUUUAUAAUCGGAAAAGAAGCGAAAAACAACGGCUAUUAUUCGGACAAAGCGUUCAAAAGAUAAGAAGUGUAAAACAGCUGUUUUUGUCCAUGUACGACUUCUUAAAGGGACCGUGCAUCGGUUACCCUUUAAAGCUUUGAUGAAACGUUAAUCUAGUUGUUUAUUUUUAGCCGUAGCUUCAACUUUUAGCCUUGUAGACGGCUUUAAUCGGAGGAGACCAAAAACAGAGUUAAUACUGUCCAAACAGGCAGACACAAACACCUCUUUCUGAACUCUCCUGCUCCUCUGAGUUUGCCGAAUUUGUUUCAUCAAUAUUGCACCCGCUGUUCUACUUUCCAAAAAAACAUAUUUUUCUAGUCUUGAACUCGGCAUGACUCCCUGCCAAACUAAUCAUGUGACCCGCCUGCUCUUGGGCGCAUCGCUGAGCCCUGAUGAACCAUCUGCAGCUGCCCGGCCACAGGCUCCAGCUUGACAGCCAAUCAAAACAUUGCCUCGUCACUCCUAGCACGGCACAGACACACGACUAGGUACAUGCACCUACAUAUACAGAGAAGUGAAGCUGUCAGCAGGAUUGCAUACAUGUAAUUUAAAUCUGCGCAAACGCACACACACACACAAACACACACACAUGCGGCGCAUCUCCCCACUGCUCCUGACAGGCCAGUAAAAACAUAAUGAAAUAUUCAGGAAGGCUCACAGUGGUUUGGAUUCUACCUGUCUCAGCUUUUCUUGUUAGUUUGUGUGUGUUUGUUUGUACCAAAGAGGAGGAGAAAGUAUGUGUGCGCACGCUGGCAUCGCUUCUGUUCAGACGUUUCUACCUUAUGGAUAUAUUCGGUGUAGACAUGCCUUCGUGUGUGUGCGCCAGUGAAGAGAGCGAGUGCCUGUGUUUGAUUUCUGUGUCUGUGUUUGUACAUAUUUGUGCUAUCUCUCAAUUCUUGCUGUCACGGCUGUGUUUAAUUGGGUGUGAGCCAGUCAAACCUUUUGUUUGUGUGUUGCCUCGUGCUUACAUCAACUAUGUUGCUCUCCUUCGUAACAAACACCGCCAAGCCGAAACAAACUUGGAGCCAGACUUCCUUGUUUUUUGAGUCCAAAGCGAAUAACAAGCACACUUAUUUUGCUUCACUCCUAUCAAAAGCUAAGCUCGGAUACUGGUGACCUUUUUUCAGAGCUGAUAUGCUGCCGGCUUUUUAUGCCGCUGAAAGGUCUUCUUUUACACUCUCGCAUGAGAGUUUGCAUGAAGUGUGAACAAAUCCAGAAAUAAAACAUGUACAAAAAGCCUUCAUUGCCUCGUAAAUAUUCCUCUUUAAGUGUAAAGGCAUGAAAUUACGGUGAUUAAAUGAUCAUUUUGAGAUGAAGGGUUAUUUCUGGGCAUAUUGACCUCAUGCUGAUUUUUUGGAAAAGCACAUUUUGUUGCAUUUACAGCCAUAAAUUUGCAAACAAAUUGACAGUUUUAUGUAGUACUAAUAUCAAAAUAAACAUUGCCCUGCUUUACAAGCAUUUGGCGUCCCACAGGGCUCCGUUCUCGGUCCCUUUUUUGUUGUUUUCAUCUACAUUUACACCUUCGCCUUCAAACAUAGUCACUUUAUCCAUCAAAAGUCGGCACCUUGACAGUGUCACCAUAAAAGAUACAGAUACCAACAUCACCUUGGAGCCAAGAACUGGAGAAUUUUUCUUGAUUGUACUCCUGCGAGGUUGAAGUAGUCGUAUCUAGUUUUGCUUCUUUUUUCAUUUUGAAAAUGACACCUCGUACCCCUGAGCUGUCUGAGGAGAUAUUUUUUUUGGCACAGCCGUAGCCUCAUGAUUACUCCCUCACUGUUCAGUUUCCUCCCACUUAACUCAAAACUUUUUUUUUUUUUUUUUUCUAUCUGACUCAGACAGUUGCCACUGGGGAGUCUGCCUGAUGAUUAACAGAGCGUAUCACCAUUGUAGCGUCUCUGCAAUGAUGAGGGAGCCACUUCACUGCAGCCAGAAGAAUAAGCUUCUUGUCAAACGAUUAUUGUGAAAAACCUUCGUAGAGUAGAAGAAGGGACAUUAGUUUAUCAUAUUUAAGGAAAGAUUUAACAUGUAAGUUAGAAUUUUACUUCUGCUUCAUUGAACAAAAUGCAAGAAAAAGCAAAUGACACAAAGAAAGACACUUCACACUUCUUAUUUAGAGGGGAGAACUGUGCAAGAGGGAGGAGCUGCAGGAGGGAGAUGUGUGUGUUAGUAAAGUAGAGGAACAGAUUGAGCAUGAGGAGAAGGAGGCUGUUGCAAUCAUUAUUGAUUACUGCAGUGUUUUGCCAGCAGUGAGUAAUGUCAGACUGCUUCAAAAAGAUAAAAACCCAGUUGGAUGGAUCUGCAUCCUCUGCAAAAUACUCUCCUAUGCUCAGAGUUAGAUAACGACAAUCAUUAGUGAUGCAUUUUUGAGAAUUUUUGAGUCUAAAGCCAGGGCCCCCAUCUCGCUCAUUUAGCCUUGAAUAAAAGUUGGAAGUGAGAAGAAACAGCCUGUCUGGCUCUGGGUAGAGGUGACAAAAUCUGCCCACUGGCACUUCCAAAGCUUAUGUUAAUAUCUCCUUUGUAAAACCUCCACAAAGUGUGUUAAAACGUCACUAUCUAGUUCAGCAGGAGAACGACAUGCCAGACUGUUUUUGAACUGGGACCAGUCGCUUCCUGGAACUCAUCUGGUUGUCUGGCUGCUUCUCCUUGCCAAGAAAUAUCCUGGCAAACGACCUUUUCUAGUAAAAUAAUAAUCAUAAUAAUGAGAAGUUUGGAGAUGAAUCUACUUCAGAGUGAGAACGGCACCUGAGUUUCUUUUCCUGAGACAUUUGGUGCGGUGUUUACAACCCAACCACCAUGACGGUAUGUCAUGGUUGGAUGGAAAUGAUUGAUGUAGCUUGAAACCUUUGGGGGAUGCAGAGAUUUUUCACUUAGUCAAACAGGAAUAUUGACGUGCCUUUUUUUCUGUCUGUGCCCGUUAACAGCCUCGUUACAUUUCAUCCAACAAUCAGAUCACUGGGCAGAUAUAGAAAGCCGUACACUGGCAGUAUGUAAACAUAUGACAUGCUGAUAGGAGGUUAUAUUCAGUGUGUCCCUGUGUCUUUAAAAGGAUCACGGAGCGUCCCAGGAGAUCUCAUUGAAGGGAGCGUGUAUGGUUAAAAAAGCAAACCAUGGCAGCCGCCCAACUCCUGCUGUGCUUUGAAAACCAGUCCCUAUUCACCGAGACGCACCAGCCAACAAAGGUGGAGGAAAAAAAAAACACACCCUCAAAGGAUUCACUUUGCAGAGCACUCAGCACAAAUAAACAACGACGAUUGCUGAUUUUCACAAACACUCCAGCCGAGCUGUCUCCCAAAGUAUAAUUACAGUGUGAAGAAAAAUAUCAAUCCAUAUAAACGUCUUUAUCUAUGAAGUUAGCUGUAGCUUUUGUUCCAAGUUAACACUGACCUUAUGAGACGCUUUCCAGACGUCUCCGUCGAGAGGAUGGAGCCAAAACACUUCAAAUGAAGAGUAGACGUUUUCAAGUGUGUUAUCUUUCUCUGGACAUUAGCGGGGAAAAAAGUGCAUUUAUCCAACUCAGGUGAGACAGUUUACAGCAUGAAAGACGAGUUGACACUUACAGGGAUGUGCUUAUUUAGUUUCCUUUCAGAGUUGGCGAGGGGAUCUGUGCUGCUUUCAUCCACGUCUGCACAGUGAAGAUGAAAGCCGCCCGCUACUCCUACACUCGAGCUUUUGUGCGUAUCAAUAAAAAAGUACCAUAUUAAUCAAUUUGUCGCUGGUUGGCAGAUUGUAGAGAGUGGUAAUAGGUGAUAAGGUAAUGACGAGGUUGUAUAAUUGGCUUCCUCUUUCUUUAAAAUGCAAAGAAAUCUGGUGUAAGAGACUUUAAAAAGCUGGUCCAGGUGUGUGUUAGUAAAGCAGAGGGACAAAGAGAGCAUGAGUGUACUUCAUCGUCUUUUUAAACUCCCACUUUCUGAUCCCCCUCUCGUUUUAAUUUCAGCCGUUUAAUUGCUUUGGCCCCUAAUGAGUUUUGUUCCUUACAUACAGCUUAUUUCUCUGCUUGUUGGCGUUUAGCUGUAGGGGAAGCAGCGGGGGGUCCUCGCCACGCGCCGUCGUCACGUGAAAAUCAUGAAAAGCCCGUGUGACGUAUAUGUUUUUGCUUCAGUUCCGGGGAUUACGUGGGCCCCUGUAGACCGAGAAAACAUCUGAAACCUUUUCAAAACCUGGUCCCCUUUUAUAAACAGCCAAACAACAACAACAAAAAAACCUUUCCUCCAUUAAAGGGACGGAUUUAAAUUCCUUAAAAGUUGCCAUUUUUGAAUACGCCGUGUUUAUCAGUGUUACCUUUUGCUAAUGCUCACCUGGAGCAAACCGCUGGGUAACAGUGCCAGGGUGGAGGAGCAACACAUCCAUGUAAUGGGAUUACACUGAUCUGCUGUAAAAAUGGUAACUCUGAUCAUCUUUGCCUCGGAAGAAAAUAGCUCAGAAAUCACAUAAGAAGUUGACAAAAAUAAUAACAGUGGGAUUAGAGAUGGUGAAGAAGCGGUUGGAAAUUUCUGACAAAGAAGGAAGUGAAACUUUUGGCAGGUUUGGAUGAUAAAAAGGAGCAGGUGUCGAGCUUUAAACCGAAACUAAAUCUGGUCUUGUGUAUGUUAAAACCGAAUUUGUAGUCCUGUUCCAUCCCUCUGCAUCCAGCACGACAGAUUGAUCACAACCCCAGGUCUGCACCGACUUCACCGUCCAUUAGUGCUCACGAUGCAACGUCCGCGACCCCACCCCCUCCCCUCCUCAAAGACAGAGUGAUGGCCGAACACGGUCCCGAACACAUGUCGAGAAGCGUUCAUUAGUCCCGCCGUUCUGAGAGGUUCAUAAAUCACCGCCAUCUGGAACUCUCAGUGCUGCAAAAGUCCACGCUCGGUGAACAACUCCUCUAUCCACCCCCCCCCCUUCAUGUGCCGGUGGCAAACGGCCAAUCAGAUAGCAGAUCCCACUGUGGUGCGUCAUUGCUGAGCCCAACACAGCCGACAGCUUUUAUAAUAAGUUUUACUCUUGACAGAUAGCACAGCUAGACUUGGAUGUUAUAGUGUCCUGCAGACCCCUAUAGAAACUGAAGGUUGUAAUAACACACUUAUACACUUUAUUUACUGAACUCUUUAUAUACAAAAUAAGAACUUUAUAUUUAUAUCACCCCCAGCUCCUAAAAGAUUGGGAUUCUGUGCAAAAUGAAAAAAACAGCAACACAGAUUUUUAAGUUUUGGAAGUUAUUAAAACUUUACAUUUAAUUUAAAAUGGUGUUUCUAAGUCAACAAAGGCUAAUGUAACAUUAGCUACAGGUAAACUAUAGUGGGGUGGAGUUAAAGGGAUAUUCCGGCGUAAAAUUAAGUUAUGGUUAAACACACUGUAACACCGAGUUAGACACCCCUUCGAGAGAUGAAUGUUGCCGACUGCUUGCUUCUCUAGUUAUACCAACUUCGGGGUGCCGCAGCUCAAGGAAGUACAUUUAUGAUUAUUACUUUAUCAUUUCCUUGAAGUAAUAAUCAUCAUAUUUAUCAUUUUCACUGCAGAUGAAGUAGUUCUUCUGCCUUAGCGUCUCGGUCUGAUUGCAUUUCCUUGAAGAAAUGAUCAUAAAUGUUCUUCCUUGAGCUGCGACACCCCGCAGUAGUCCGUAAUGGACUGGCCUGAGGCCUUGCUUUAAACAAGCGGCUGCUGGGAGAGAGUAGGUGAGUUGUGUUUAGUCUCUUUUCUAAAGAAAUGAGUCAAAGUUAAAAAGAUGUUUGGUGGCUAGUACUAUGGCUGUGACCCUAUAUGUCCUGUUGAUGAAGUUAGGUGCUGUUCUGAGCAUUAUUUGUGGCUAUAGAGUGGCGUUUUGGUUGAGGUUUGUUUAUGGCUCCUCAGACCGCUGUGUAUUGCUAUUGUGUGGUCGUUACUAAAGUUGGUAUAACUAGAGAAGCAAGCGGUCG